UAUUUUACCUGAUCUCAUGGGCUCUUUAGGAGCAGUUAGCUCUGCUCCAACUGGUCAGGCCCAUGCUGCUUCCUAAAAAUCAUCCUUUAAUCAGUCCUAAGCUUCCAAUAUUAUUCAAGGGUUUCCUGUGUUUAUGAGUUGAUUUUUGUCUCCUCACCUAUAGCUCCUGGCAAAUAAGAAUUCAAUCUUCUUGUGUUCCCCAGCCUCAUAUAGUGAGGGCUCCAAAAUGGGAAAAAAAAUCACUAUCCACUAAUGAAAAGAUAAUGGUUAUGUUCUGAUUCACAUCAGCUAAGAGUAAUACUCUUCACUCCUCCUUGCCAGAAGAGAAAGAAAGAACCAAGAUUCAAACUGUCCAGCUGCUUUUCUCAGCUAGAAGUUCUAGCCCAUCCCACUCUGGCAAGCAGCAUUCCAUCAUCUUCCUUCAUGGUGUUUUUAUAAUCAAGUCUUUGCAAUGAAGUAUGUAAUCUUCUCUUCCACAGUGGGCAGGAAUGAAGGAGGGGCGAGGGUGGGAAAGAGGAAGAGAAUUUGGAACUCAAAAUUUUUAAGAAUGAAAAUUUAAAAUUAUUUUUACAUGUAAUUGGAAAAAAAUAAAAUAUUUUAAAAAUAAUUAUAGAAAUUCAAAUUAAAACAACUCUGGGGUUAUCUUAUACUCAUCAAUUUGGCAAAAGGGACAAAAAAGUGAAAUUAAAAAUAUUGGAGGGACAACAGGAAAAUAGGCCAAUCAAUGAAGCAUGAUGGAACUGUAAACUGAUCUUAUCAUUCUGGAAUACAGUUUGAAACUGUUCUUUAAAAAUGACUAAAUUGUGUAUACCCUCAAGCUUGGCAACAUCACUACUAGGCCCAUUACCCAGAGAGCUCAAAGCAAUAAUGAAAUGUCUUAUAUAUUUUCCCUUUUUUUUUAGCAGCUCUCUUUGUUGUGUCAAAAACAGAAAACCAAGGGGAAUAUCCAUUAGUUGGGGAAUGGCUGAACAAAUGAUAGCAUUUGAAUGUAAUAGGAUAUUAUUGUACUCUAAGUCAAGACAAUAAACAUUUAUUAAGCAUCUUCUAUGUGCCCAGAACUGGGCUAACUUGGGAUUACAUACAUAUAUACAAAAGACAAAAAAACAAUCCCUGCUCUCAAGGAACUUGCAAUCUAAUGGGGUAUGUGGGAAUAUGCAAACAAAUGAUACCAAGGGGAAAUCAAGAGAAUCACUUUUAUAUGGAGGGAGGAAUUUUAGCUGGGACAUGAAGGAAACCACAGAAGUCAGAUACAGAGUUUGAAGAGAAAGACAUUUGAAAAGAGGACAACAGGUAAAAAUGCUCAGAAAUUGGAGAUUUAUAGUAAUCAAGGAAUGACCAGGAGGCCAGUGUUCCUGGGUGUCAGAGUAUUGGGAUGCAGGAUAGUGGUUGGUAUAAAGAGACUGGAAAAGUAGGAGGGAAUUUUGAAUCCCAAACAGGAUUUUGUAUGUAAUCCUGAAACUGCUAAGAACUGUGACAAGGAAAUCACUUUAAAAGACUGAUAUAUAUUAAUUUAAGGUCGCCAAGGAAUUCAGCUAUGUAAUUCCUAAAUGAAAACUCAAGUCAGCUGUCAGCCUUUUAUAGAGUUUAAUUACAAACAGGAGGAAGAAAGGAAUUAGAGAGAGAGAGAGAGAGAGAGAGAGAGAGAGAGAGAGAGAAAGGGGAGAGAAGGGAAUAGGGCUUAAAUACCCCCUCUGUUUAGGCUGGACCAAAAGGCCCAAGCCCUUAGAUAGCUGGGGCAAAGAAAGGAGAUCAGUCCCUAUUACUCACGUGACCAAAAUGGAGAAACAGUCUCCGGGGCCUCCACCUCCAGCUUCCUUCAGAGCAAGUUUCUCAGAGCACCUCUCCAACCACUCAGAGCCAAAACUCUCCCACCCCCCUCAGUCCUCAGACCCCUCUAUCUUUAAGGAAAACCAUCCAAGUUCCCUCCCCUCAGUUCUCACAUCUACCAAUCACUGUCCAUCAUUUUCCCUGUGCCAAUGGUGGCUCUAGCUUAACCCAGGACCUCCCAGAGGUCUGUGGCUUUGCACAUGUCUGUUGAAGGUCAUAUUCUCAAAUAAUUAAAUCUUGAUCUUUUGCUACAGCCCUUCCUAAAUCCUGUUACCCUGAGUAGGGUAGAGAUUGGAAUAAUUAAAUUUUGAUCUAUGCUGCAGCCCUUCCUAAAUCCUGUUAGGACUGAGUAGGGUGGAGAUUGAUUCCAAGUAUCUCCAUUGUAUCAAUUCUAAAAUCAAUCAUGACUCAAAGAAAUUCCUGUUCUAUGCUUAAGCAUAGGUCAAAGCCCUUUCCAUUGUUCAGCAAAAGAUUUCUGUCCUAAAGUAAUCUUAAGAAGGGAGGAGGAGGAACCUCCCAUGCCAAUGGGGUUCACAUUCCAAUAGACUAUCAGUAAGAAAAUUUCCAAGUAUGAAAUUUCCCAAUGGUGAAAUUUCCAACAUUUAUAAGUCUAAGAAAUUUUAAGGUUUACAGAACCCAUUGGAGUUUAUUGAAUAGAGGAAUGACAACAUCAUGCCUAUGCUUUUAAGGAAAAUUACUUUGAAAUUUGAAGCAGGGAGACCAAUGAGCAGAACAUUGCAAAAGUUCAGGAAUGAGAUGAUGAGGGCCUCUUCCAGAGUGGCAGCGCUCUGUAAGAGAGGAAGGGGUGGUAUACAAGAGAUGUGAUGAAAAUAAAAUUGGACUUCUAGUUCAUGUGGCCAACAGGAUGGAAGGUAUUUUCCCUAAUUCUCACAACUUCUCAGACCUCUCCAAAACAAAUAGUGAGAUGGCAAUGAAUAGUCUGGAACACUAAGAAGCUAAAGAAAGUAAAAACUCCAUGAACUAACACAUAACUCAUGCUUACUGAGUACCCCUCACUCACUGCAGCAGCAAAUCUGCAACUGCAUCCCUUUCCCUCUCUUUCCAGUACCUAAAGAUUCAAACUCCAAAUUGUAGAUAUAUACUGAGGCUAUGACAGUGUAUUGGCAGCAUUCUUUGCUGUGAUCGAGCUCUGUAGAAGAGUAGAAGAAUAGAGAUAAUGGGGCAGGACAUAUGCCAGGGCUCUUAAUAAAAUUAAACCAUAUAAACCAAUCCCUGCUUCUCCCCAACACCAGGGAUGUCCAAACUCCAAACGGCAGAAUUUUUCCCAUUCUAAGAUAGCACCAAGUGUAACAGUGCUCAGAGGAACAGAGGGGAUGGGAUAGGACACUGGUUAUAUAGACCUGUGUGGUACUUCAAGCCUAAAAUAUAUCCUAGCAUUCAGCUGGGUUCAUUUCUUUCCCCCUGAAGAAUCACUGGGACAGAAAUUUAGGUUAAUGAACUAUGAAUUAUCUGACAUAAAGAGGAGACUGAGAUGCUUUGGGAUCCAGCCCCCAGAGAAACCACCAUCAGAGGGGAAAGAGUCAGAAACUGAACAAUAGGAGAAAAUAAAAGAGAAGGAAAUUACCAAAAACUUAAGGACAAAGUUCAAGGAUCUUUAGUAUAAACAGAUUAACCAACAACAAAUAUAGUAAUAGCAGAAUGAAAUAUGGUCUCUGGAUCUAGUAAAUGAGUUUAGUAAUCUAUUAAUAAAUACUGUAAAAUAAAAGAAAAAUGUUUCAACAACUGACAAUGCAGAGGUCCCUGCAAUGAAUUUUGAGACAUGUGUGGAAACAUACCAUGCACAGAAGAAAUGAGCAUAAUAGAAAAAAAUUGAAUUCACAUGGCAAGUCUCCCCUCCCUCCUAAAAAAACAAAACAAAACAAAACUACAAUCACUUAAAAAAAAACCAAGCAAACAAAAAAAAAAUGAUUGGGAAUAUACAGAGGUGAACAAUCUCCAAAAAAAAAAUCAAAAAAGUAAUAAAAAAUUUCCUCUGAAAAUAUCUUUUAAAAGAACACAUCUCUGAACAAGCAAAAAAUAUUGAUCUUGAAGUCAGGUUGCAUAGAUAGGCCUCCUAGAAGAACAUAGAUACAGAAAAAGUGCCAAAAGAAAGAAUCCAUAGAUGGCACCCCAAGAUGGGCGGGUGGAACAGACUGCAAGACACAAGGUGGUUAAAUUUUAAAAUCCUAAUGAGAAACAAAACAUACUAUAAUAAGCAACUAGGAGAAAAGACCUUAAAAAUAAAAAGAAUAGGAAAUUCAGGAGCAUAAAUUAUUCCACACUGGUCAGAAAAUGGGUGGGAAUGAAAUAAUGUGCUGUGAAGAACACUGAAGAUAAAGAUGCAGUCAAAGUUUACCCUAAUCUGAAAAUCCAGGUUUAACCAUAAUGGGAAAGGUGGAUAGUCAAUAUAAAAAGGCAUAUAAAACAGCCUUAGAAAGAAAAUCAUUCUCAAAAGAGAAUAUUUGCUUCUCAAAUCCCUUAGACAACAGAAACAUAGGGGUGAAUGAAUAUAGUAGCCAAGGACAACAAUAAGUGACAGCAGAGAAGUCAUUAAGAGACUUCUUUCAUGUAUAAAGAAGACAUAUAUACAAAGAGAAAAGAUGAAAAUGAAAAUCAGAGGGAAGUGAUGGUAGGGAGAUGGCCUAGAGUAUUGUGGACUGAAACUUGUGGUACCUCAUCUACAAGUGAAUCAAAUCUUUUUGUGGGAUUAAAUUACAAAUCGGGAGAGUGCAAGGAGGAGGAAGGGGGAGAGAUGUAUGACACUGGUAGGAGGGAUGCCACUAAUUAAUACUCCUCUGGGGGGAGAGGGAGAUUCUUUGAGGGAAAAUGUGUGUGUGUGUGUGUGUGUGUGUGUGUGUGUGUUGGAAGUUGCCUGUAAGGAUUUGGUGUUUGGAGAUAGCUCUUGUUCUGCCUUAGAAGAGAGGAAAUUGAAACUCCUUGGGUCAAUUGGCACCUAGAAGAGUGGGAGGACACAGAUUCAGAGAGAUUUUGUUGAAAUGGGAAAUGGAUAAGGGUAUAUGUCAGCAGUGGACUGCACAAUCAGGCAUAUGGGGGAGGCAUUCUGCUGUGGGGCAAUGUCCUAUCUAUCUUCAGGAAAUGGUAUUUCUCUGGGAGUGAGGCACAAUGAGGAAAAAAAGGCAAAAUCUAUAAAGAGACAGAAACUUUUUUUAGGUACUCAGAAAAGGUAUCUUAGAAGUUUUGACUUCAUAAAUGCAAAGAAUAAAGGGGGAUUAGUAAACAGUGAGUACCUAGAGUAGGCAGAAAGGGAAUGUAGAUAGUGAAAGAGAGAAAUCUUGUCUUAAAUAACUGUAAUAUUAAACUACUAUAAAGCAGUAAUCAUCCAAACAGUCUGGUACUGGCUAAGAGAUAGAAGGGUGAAUCAAUGGAAUAGACUAGGGGUACAUAACUCAGCAAUCUAGCGUUUGAUAAACACAAAGAUUCUGGCUUUUAGGAUAAGAGCUCACUAUUUGACAAAAUCUGCUGGGAAAAUUGGGAAAGAGUAUGACAAAAAUUAGUUUUAGACUAAUAUCUCAUACUCUAUAUACCAAGAUAAAUUUAAAAUUAGUAUAUGACUUAAAACAUAAAGAGUUAUAUUAUAAGUAAAUUAGGUGAAUGUAAAAUAGUACACCUGUCUGUAUAUGGAGAAGGAAAGAAUUUAAGACCAAACAAGAGAAUGUUACAAUAUAUAAAUGAAUAAUUUUGAUUACAUUAAACUUAAAAAGGGUUUGUACAAACAAAAUAAAUGCAACCAAGAUUAGAAGGGAAACAACAAACUGGGGAAAAAUUUUAUAGAUAAUUUCUUUGAUAAAGGUUUAAUUUCUCAAAUUAUUAAAAAAGCUGUCAAAUUUAUGAGAAACCAAGUCAUUCCCCAAUUUACAAAUGGUCAAGGGAUAUGAAUAGGCAGUUUUCAGAUGAAGAAAUCAAAACUAUCAAUAAUCAUAUGAAAAAAAUGUUCUAAAUCCUUCCUGAUUAGAGAAAUGCAAGUCUAAACAACUCUGAGAUACUAACUCAUACCUAGCAGAUUAGCCAAUAUGACAGUAAAAGAAAAUAAUAAAUGUUGGAGGAGAUGUGGCAAAACUGGGACACUAAAGCAUUGCUGGUGGAGUUUUUGAAACGAUCAACCAUUCUGGAAGGCAAUUUGGAAUUGUGUCCCCAAAUACUUUUGAUCCAGCAAUACUACUACUAGCUUUGUACCCCAAAGAGAUUUAAAAAGAAUGGGAAUGGACCUGUUUGUACAAAAAUAUCUAUAGCUGCAUUUUUCUGGUCACAAAAAAUUGGAAAACAAGGAGAUGUCCUUGAUUAGGAAAUGACUGAACAAAUUAUAGUGCAUGAUGGUGGUGGAAUACUAUUGUGCUAUAAGGAAUGAUGAACUGCUUGAUUGCUUUAAGAACUGUAAAAACAUAAUAAUGAACUAAUGCAGAGUGAAAUACGCAGAACCAAGAGAACAUUGUACACAGAAACUGAAACAUUGUGGGACUAUCAAAUGGAAUAGACUUUGCUACUAAAAACAAUGCAAUGAACCGGGACAAUUCUGAAGAAAGAAUGCUAUCCACAUCUAGAGAAAAAACUGUUGGAGUAGAAAUGCAAAAGAAAACAUAUGAUUUAUCACAUGUUUAAAUGGGUAUAUGAUUUGUGGUUUUGUUUUUAAAAGACUACUUAACAAAAAAUGAACAAUAUGAAAAAUGGUUUUGAGUGAUAAUACAUGUAAAACCCAGUGGAAUUGUUUGUCAACACAUUGGAGGUGGAAGGAAAGAAGGGAGACGACAUGAAUCAUGUAACCCUGGGGGGGGGGGAUUAAAUAAAUAAAUGAAUGAAAUAACUGUAGACAAUAUAAAAUACCUUGGAGUCUACUUGCUAAGGCAAACCUGGAAAUUAUAUGAACACAAUUACAAAAUACUUGUCACACAAAGUCAAAUCUAAUCAAUUGGAAUAACAUUAACUAAUCACAAGUAGGUUGAGCCAAUAUAAUGACAAUUUGCCUCUUCAGGGCCAUACCAAUCAAACUACCAAAACAUUAUUUCAUGAGGUAGAAAGAAUUAUAACAAAAUUCAUCUGGAAGAACAAAAGUCAAGAAUGUCAAAGAAAUUAUUGAAAAAUAUUGAAAAUAUUGAAAAAAUAUUAAGAAAGCGGGCCUACCCAUACCUGAUUUCAAAAAAGCAGUAGUCAUCAAAAUAAUCUGGUAAGCCUUCUCCAAUAUUCUCAUACUCACGUGUUCAUUCUUCCUCCAGCUUGAAGUGUGGGAGCCUAGCACCUCAUUCAGCUUUUCUCCAAUUGCUUUCAGCAUGUUUGCCAAGAUUGGGUACCCAGCCCCAGUUUCAGAGAUUUAGUGACUUUGCCAGAUCACUAAUACUACAGAGGGAAAUAAUGUUGUGCUGUUCUUUUCCCCUGAGACUUGACCUUCAUGGGUUCCAGGGAGAUUAUUGAAUUCAGUGACUUGAGAUGAAGAGAAGAAGAAACUCAACUGCCAAGUGAUUGGUGCUUCAGUGGACUCCCACUUUUGUCACCUUGCCUAAAUCAACACAUUUAAGAAGACCCCAUUGGUGUAUGAUUCUCAAUGUACUGAUGAUGGGGGUUUCAAGGCAGGUGAUGGAAUUUCAUUCAACAGUCUCUUCAUCACUGAUGAGGAGAUCCUUGGCCAUCUGGCCACCAACGAUCUUCCUGUGGCUUCUCUGCAGACAAUUCAGACCUUCCAGUUCACAAACUUGCUGAUGUGUGUCCUGCUAUCUGGUAACUUGGAAGGGGCAUAGUCAGGCUAGAUGUUAAGGGAGGAGUAAGGAAUAUUUUUCCAAGCAGUAGUGGGCUGCUCUCUAUUGAGGGGAUAUCUCACCUUAGGAGGUCCAAGGGUACACUUAGCUGCUGUCUGCAGGUCAAGAAAAAAUGUGCUUGAUCCCUUCCCCAUGAUUUCAACUGAAAGGUCCUUCAUAGAAGGAGCCAAGAUACUGUGGGGUUAGCUGGGCAUGUCCUCUCUGCAUGGGCCUGGAAUCAGAGCAUUCCUGAUUUCUUCCUUCCCUCAGAGCAUCAUCUUGGCCCCUGCUAACUUAGCCCUUAAGCAUCUCUUUUUCUCACACCAAUGACCUUGUACUAUCUUAACAAUGUUUGUUUUGUACCAUAGUCAGUGCUAGGGGCUGGAGCCCAACUGAUAUUUUUAUAGUUGUAUUAAACUUGGUCUAAGGGGGAAAGACCCCAAUCUGGUACUGGCUAAGAAAAGGAGUAGUGGAUCAAUGCAAUGGGUUGUAGUAAAUGAGUAUAGUAUUAGAUAAAACCAAAGAUCUAAGCUUUUGGAAGAAAACCUCAAUAUUUGAGAAAAAAUAUUAGGAAAAGUGGAAAAUAAUAUGGCAGAAACUAGAGAUGGCCCAACAUCUCAUACCUUAUACCAUAAAAAAAAAAAGUCAAAAGGGAUGCAUAAUUUAGAGACAAAUGCCAUGGACAAAUUAGAAGAGCAUGGAAUAGUUUUUCUGACAGACCUAUGGAUGGGAGAAGGAUUGAUUAUCAAACAAGUCUUAGAGAACAUUAUAAGAUAUAAAAUGGAUGGUUUUGAUUGCAUUACACUAAAAAGAUUUUGCACAAACAAAACCAAUGAACCAAGAUUAGAAAAUAAACAAAACACUACAGAAAAUUUUUAUAACAAGUUUCUAUAACAAAGAUCUCAUUUAUCAAACAGAACUGAGUCAAAUUUAUAAGAAUACAAAGUAACAUUCCUUAAAUGAUGAGUGAUCAAAGGAUAUGAACAAGCAAUCAAUCCUCAGAUAAAGAAAUUAAGACAAUGAUUACAUGAAAAAAAUUCUCCAACCCCUCUAUAGAUUAGACAAAUACAAAGUGAAAAACAAAAAACACUCCGAAACCCACUAUAGAUUAGAGAAAUGCAAAACAAAAAAAGCAUAUACAACACUAAGGUACCACCUCAUACCUGUAAGACUAGCUGAUAUGACAAAAAAGGGGAGUGAUAAAUAUUGGAGGACAUGUGGGAAUAUUGGGACACUAAUACAUUGCUGAUGGAACUUGCACUGAUCCAAUCAUUCUGGAAAGCAACUGGAAACUAUGCCUAAAGAAUUAUAAAGCUGCAUACCCUUUGACCAUGCAGUACCACUACUAGAUCUAUAUCCCCAAGAAAGAGGAAAAGGACCUACUUGUAAAAAAAAUUAUUUCUAGAAGCUGAUUUUGUGGUAGAAAAGAAUUGGAAACUGAGCAGGUAUUCAUCAAUUGAGGAAUGACUGAACAAGUAAUGGUAUAUGAUUAUAUAAUGGAAAAUGAUGCAAACUAAAGUGAACUAACUAGGAGAAUAUUGUUCACAAUAACAGCAAGAUUGUGUGAUCAUCAACAAUGCAAGAAUCCCAAGAGAAAUCUAAGGAUAAGAAAUUCUAUCUAUCUCCAUAGAAGGAACUGAUAGAGUCUGAAUGUAGAUUGAAGCAUACCGUUUUUCAAUUUUUUCCUUUAAGAGUUUUUUUCUUGUAUGUGUGACAUGUAUUUUCUUUUAUAAUAUGAUGAAUAUCAAUAUAGCAUAUGUAUAACCUAUAUCAGAUUGCUUACUGUCUUGGGGAGGAGGGAAGGAGGAGGGAGGGAGAGAAUUUGGAUUACAAAAUGUCAGAAAACAAAUGAUAAAAUUUGUUUCUAUGUGAAAUGGGAAAAAAUACACUAAAAUGUUGAUUGGAAAAAAUAAUAUAUCUAUAGAUGGUAAAAUGAUAAGAACUUUUAAAGUCUCUUUCAGUUUGGGAUAAAACUAACAGGAAGAUAAGCAAAAGGGAAAAUGCACAAAUGAGCAAAUUGCUGGAAAGACUAGAGCUAAAAAAUGUAUAGUAUCUUCUAAAUGGGAUUGAAGAAAAGACUAUACAUAUAUUUUAUUCCAUGUGGGACUUUUUAUAAAAAUUAACCAUGUCUUAGGGCACAGAGAAAGGCACAAAAUAUAUAUUUUACAGAUUAUACUGCAAUAAAAAGUGAUGGGUUUAGGGAUCACAAACAAAAGACAACAACCCAGAUGGAGACAAAGAUGAAAUCCUAAGCAAUUAGUGGAUUAAAGAAUAUAUCAUAGAAACAAUUAUGUGAAAGAAAAUAAUUAUGAAACAACAUAUGGAAAUAUCUCAUUCAGCUAAAUUGAUCCUUGGGAGGAAAGUUAUAUCCCUCUAAACAUACAUCAACAAAACAGAAAAGAAAUGAAUACUGAAUAUGAGUUAAAAAAUAGAAAUCCAACAAAUCUAAAAUAAGCAUAAAAGAGGAGCCAUUAAAAACAGAGGAAAAAUAAACUGGAAAUCUAAAAAAAACCCAUAGAAAUAAAAAAAAAACAAAGAUGAAUUCUUUGAAAAGACUAAUGAGAUGGGAAGAUAGAGGAAUAAGAUGGGAAAUUACCCAGCUUUCCCAAAUUCCCCUCCAAAUAACUUAAAAUAACAUAUUAAAUUAACUAAUUAAAUUGAAUUUUAUUAAAACCCUUACUUUCCAUAUUAGAAUCAAUACUGUGUUUUGGUUACAAGGCAGAAGGGCGGUAAGGUCUAAGCAAUGGGGAGCAAAGUGACUUGCUCAGGGUCACACAGCUAGAAAGUGUUUGAGAUCAGAUUCGAAUCUAGGCCCUCCCAUUUCUAGGCCUGGCUCUCUCACCCAGCUGCCCCCUUAAAUUGAAUUUUAGAGUAGCAGAAAUAAAUCACAGUAAAGCAGUCAUCUAACCUAAGACAACUUGUGAGGACACUAGAAAACAUCUGACCUAAUGGGAUGGUGGUUGGCCCACAGCAACGUGCAGAUACCAUAGCAUCAACAAACAGAAAGCUUGGGGUCAGCUGUGUCAGUGGCAAUGCCAGAGAACACUUUUGCCCCACAGUGUGUAAGUGUGUACUUGUGUGGAAAAGGGGAGUGGUAUGGGGGGGGGUCAUUCAGCUGAUUUGGGAAAAUCAUUAGGGUCCUCUGCUGGCAUUUUACUCGCAGCCAAAGGACAUUGACUACGCUUGGUCCCAGAAUGUAGCUAAAGGCAAGGACAGCAUCCUUUGUUGAGUAUAGUCACAGAGGGGCAGGGAUCCUGCUCAUGGUUCUUGGAUGGAGAGGACUAAUUAUAGUUACUUGCAAGAGAGCAGAGUCCCUGAUCUUGGUUCUAGGGCAGAAGGGAGAACUGAUGUUUGUGGCUGUGGGAGAAUGAGGGCCAGUUCACAGUGGUGGGGAGAUGGGUAGCUCUGGUCAUGGCUUAAUGGUGGAGAGGUAUACCCACUCAUAAACCAAGAAAUAAGCCAAAAGAACAGUGACCAUAUAUGGCCUUGGAUCAUAGCAUUUUGGAAGAACCAAAAAGUCAAAGAUACAAAGAUAGAGCUCUGAAAACAAUACAAAAAAACUGAAUCCUGAGACAUUAUCCUCCAUGCCCUGAGAGAGGAAUGUGACCUGAACAUAAAGUUAAUAGCCAAGAAAUAGGCUAUUAAACAGAGACAAACCAUAAACAACAGAAAAAGAACAUGACUAAAGGUAAUCACUUUGGUGAUGAAGAUCAAGUUUCUAACUCAGAAGAAUGCAAGUGAAAAUAGUUACUUGUAAAGCUUUAAAAAAUUGUAAAAUGGUCUUGAGCCCAAAAAGAGUUUUUGGAAGUUCUAAAAAUAAAAAAGACUUCAAAAAUCAGUAAGAGAGUAGCAACUACAUGGCUCAGUGGUUUGAGAGCCAAGUCUAGAGGGACUGGAGGUCCUUGGCUCAAAUUUGGCCUAGCUCUAUGACCUUGGGCAAGUCACUUAAUCCCUGUUGCCUAUUCUUUUACUGCUUUUCUGUCUUGGAUCCAAUACACAGUAUUGAUUCUAAAAUGAAAGGUAAGAAUUUUUAAAAAAUCAAAGAGAGUUGGUGAAAAUUUUAGAAAAAAAAUCAAUAAGGCAAAAAUAUUAUGAAAACAAACAACUAAUUGAGGGGGGACAAGAACCAAAAACUUACUACAAAGAAAAUAACUCCUUAAAAAUUAAACUGAGUAAGGGGAAGCUAAUAACUUCAUAAGACAGCAACAAAUAAAACAAAAGAAGGGGUAAAUAGAAGAAAACACAAAAUACUGCAUUGUAAAAACAACUGGCCUAAAAAAAAAUAUAGAUUGAGGAGAUAUAAGAAUUGUUGGACUACCUGAAAGUCAUGAUUAAAAGAGUCUAAGUAUUAGGCUUCAAGAAAUUAUUAAGGAACAGUUUUAGAAUUAGAGGGUAAUAGAAAAAAAAAUCCCACACUUAUUCUCUGAAAGAAUUCCUAAAAUGAAAACUCAAUGGAACAUAAUAACUAAGUUUCAAUGUUCUCAGUUCAAGGAAAAUAAUAUUAUAAGUAACUAGAAAGAAAUAAUCCACACAGUGUAAUGUAUAACAAAAGGCUGAGCAUCUUCUACAGUAAAGGGCUGAAUAGUAUGGAAUAUAACAUUCUGAAGAGCAAAGAAGCUGAUUUGGCAACCAAGAAUAACCUACCAAGUAGGGCUGAGUGUAAGCCUGCAAGGAAAAAAAUGUAAAGAAACUAAAUGAUUUCCAGAAAUUCUUGAAGAAAAAUUCAGAACUGAAUGAUUUGAACUUAAAUGUCCCACAAACCCCACAAGGCAGCUGUACACAAUGAAAAGAACAUAGAAUCAAUUUAAUUAGAAUGUGGCUAUCUUUUAUAUAAGACAUAUGAGUUGCUUAGAUUCACAAUUAUGAGAAAACUCCACACAUCAAUCUUUAGAUAUAAAAUACUAGGUUCUUGGUUGGGAGUCUCUGAAUAGCAAGUUCAGGUGGUUCAGUUUCACACAGGACAGGAUUCAAACAAUGCUCAAUUUCUAUAUUCAUUGCCUUUCUUAGAGUCUGUGCAGAAAAGAGCAAAACUUCACCUAAAGUUGCCCCAGGGUAUUUAACAUAUCAUUAGCAUCCCAUUUACACUGCAAUUUGCUCCACUCAAGUGGCCAGAGUAAACUAUGAGUAAAGCCACACAGACCAAAGUGAACCAUGGGAAAAGUGACAUCAGUCCCCUGUAGACACAGGGCAACAACUGUCCAAACUGUAAUCUAGAUAAAAAGCACUCCUGAAAACUCUUACUUACUCUUUUACUCUUCCUCUAUCUUUAUUUACCACACCUCCUUACCUGGCAUUACUUAUUAUAUUAGCUACUCUGUUACUAUAUUCUCUUAAAAUAAAGCUUAUUUCCUCAGAAUUGGGUCAGUUUGAAUCAAUACUUUGGGUGAGACCCAAUUAGAAUAAAACCCAUCACAACAGAAAAUUUGACUUUCAAAUAUAACAAUAAGGAUUUAAUGAAUAAGGAUUUAAUUUAAUAAAGGAAUUAUUUAUCAUCUUAUAUGGGAAAAUAUUUGUAAUGAAAGAAUAUUAUUAAAAAAUAAAUAGUAUACAAAGAUAAAGCACUUUGGGUUGAGCUAAUUAUAAUGGAAUGAUACUUAAAAAUAAAAUUGGGUAGAGAGAGGUAAAAUGGUAUAGAUCAUCUCACACAAAAGAGGUGUGAAUGGUACACCUUUUGCAGGUUUGGGGGUGAAGGAAUAGCAGCAAAGGACCUUAUUCUCACUGGAAUUGGGUUAAAAAGAGAAUAACAUAUGUCUAGAUAGGUAGAAAAAUCUUCUUAACUUAGAGAAUUAAACUCUUAGAAUGUAUGAGGAUCAGCAAAUCAGUGCUUAGAGGCAUAUUAUAUGACUUCUAAGGAGGAAUGGGGUAAAAAGAGAAGGAUAAACAUUGAAGGGAAAUAAAUAACUAUAAUUAUAACUUUGAAUGUGAAUGGGAUGAAUUAAAAAUGGAAAUAGGUAGCAGAAUGGCUCAAAGUCCAGGAAACAUUUAAAAAUGAGAGAUUUGCACAGAGUAAAAAUAAAUAAAGGGAUGGAGCAGAAUUUAUUGUGUAUAUAAUUGAUGGAAGUAGAAACCAUAAUCUCAAGGAAAGUUAAAACUAAAAUUUAAUUAAAAGAGAUAAGCAGGAAAAUUACAUUAUGUUAAAAAGUACCACAGAUAAUGAACUAAUAAUAUUAAAAUGUAAUCAUCAAAUGCUAUAGCAUCCAAAUAUAUAAAAGAAAAGGCAAAUGAAUUAUAGAUGGAAAUAGAAAAACUAUAAUAGUGGGGGACUUUGACUUUCUACUCUCAGAACUAGAUAAAUCCAACCAAAAAAUAGAUAAUUGGAGAAAUUUGAAUGGGAAUUGAAAGGAAUAUAUCUUUUCCUCAGCAAUACCAUGGCACCUUUGCAAAAACUGACCAUAUAUUAGGUCAUAAAUUGUAGUUGUAGUCAAAUGCAGAAAAUUUGAAAUAUUGUACCCUUUUCAUAUAAUAAUGCAACAAAAGUUAACUUUUAAUAAAGGAACAUGGAAACAAAGAUUAAAAAUUAAUUGAAAACUUAGUAACCCAAUCUUAAAGAAUGAGUGCAUCAAAGAUACAUUAUAGAAAUAAAUUUAUUUAAGAAAUGAUGAGACAAAAUACCAAAACUUAUGGGAUGCAGCAGAAGUGAUAAUCAAAGGAAAAUUUAUAUCUUUAGAUUCUUAUAUUUAUAAAAUAAAGAGCAUAGAUUUGGGCAUACAAUUAUUUGGGUAUACAUUUCUCCCACAUUUCCUUCUAAACCACUUUAAAAUGAGGUCUCUUACCAAAUUUUGGAGCAAUGAAGCAGUUUUGCAUCCCAGAUAAGCCCAGGAAAAUGGCAGGAAAAGUUUCAUUUCCCUGGAAGGGAGGGGAACUCAGUCCUAAGUGGGAAACCUUAGGAAAGGAAGAUAAUAUCCCAUGAGGAAGGGUCAGACCUUGCCCCCAUAGCAGAGAACCUCAACCCAGAGCAAACCAGAGUGGAGGUUAGCAGGGAGGCCUCAGCUGGACAUUAGCCUACAGUGGGCUUGUCCCCAGUGAAGGUCACAAGCAAAACUCUCCAUGAGGCAUGCCAAUAGUGAAGCCCCAUCCCCAGGGCAAGUUAACAGUGAGGUCCUUCAUUGUACAAACCAGUAACUGAGGCCCCCCCACUGAAUAAGCCAUUAUUGAGGACAUUCCAUUGGUACAAGCCAGCAGCAAGGCUUCACUUCCAAGGCAAGUCAAAAGUGAGACCUUCUCCCACAGCAACAAUUAUUACCUCUAGGGCAAGCCAGCAGUGAGGUCUGACCAUUAGGAUUGGCCAGCAGUGAGGCAUUGACCCCAGGGCAAGCUAGCAAUGCUGUCCCUCAUUGUGCAACCCAGCAGCUGAGGACCCUCAACUGAACAAGCAAGCACCAAGGUCCCCUAUCAUGUAAUCAAUCAAUAAGGACCCCCUUCUGAUGCAAGUCUACAGUGAAGUCCCCCCGCCCACCAGGUCAAGUCAGCAGCUAGACUCUGAAACUCAUAUAAGCUAGAAACAAAGCCCCAAAACCCACAAGAAGAAGCCUGGGGCAAUGACUUCUCCAAUUCAGGAACAUAGUCCAAUUUUAAUAUAUAGUGAAAAGUUAUUAAUAAACUAAAAAAUAAAUUAGCAAAAACAAAAACAAAAGAGAGCUGAAUAAUAGAAAGUUAUUAAUGAUUACAGGAAGAAUCAGGGCACAAACCUAAAAAAGAACAAUGUCAAAAUGUCUAUAAGUGAAACCUUGUGAAAAAAAAUGUGAACUGGAGACAGGCCCAAAAAGACCUUUUGGAAGAAGUAAAAAAGUACUUUAAAUAUCCAAUAAGAGAGAAGAAUAAUUGGGGGAAAAAGAGUAAUGCAAAAAAAAAAUCAUGAAAUAAGAGUUAACAGCUUGGUAAAGGAAGUAUAAAAAAUGUAAAGUACAUACAAAGAUUUGCCAAAGACAAAUUAAGUCCUUAAAAAGUAGAAUUGGACAAAUAGAAAAGGAGAUUCACCAAAGAAAAAAUAAGUAGAACUGAUCAAAUGGAAAAGGAGGUACAGAAACUUAGUGAUAAAUAAAUAAAUGCCUUCCUCCCCUAAUUUUUAAGAAAUGUAAGUGGCUUGGUAGAUUAAGAGUCAGGGCUAGAGACGGGAGGACUUGGGUUCAAAUCUGAUCAUACAUGUUUUCUACCUGUGUGAACUCAGUCAAGUCACUUGACUCCACUUGCAUUGCUCAAGAAACAGCAAAAAAAAAAAUUAAAAGAAUGGAAAAAUAGAAGAAAAUGUGAAAUUUCUCAUUGGAAAAACAAUUGACCUGGUAAAAAAAAGAUUAUGAAGAGAUAAUUUAGGUAUUAUUGGAUUACCUGAAAAUAAAAGAAAAGACCGUGGACAUUAUGUUUCAAGAAAUUAUUAUGGAAAAUUGCCCUGGUAUCCUAGGAUCAGGGAGUAAAAUAGAAAUGGAAAGUUUUCUUUUAUCCCAGGAAUGAUACAGAAAAAUUCCAGAACUCCCAGGUUAAGGAGAAAAUAUAAGCAGUCAAAAAGAAUUCACAUUUCAUUGAGUCAUAGUCAGGAUAAUACAAGAUUUGGCUUCUUAUACUUUAAAGGACUGGAGAGCUUGGAAUAUGAUAUUCCAGAGGGCAAAGUUGAUAUGAUUAUAACCUCAGCAAAAAUAUGUAUAAUUCUUCAUGUGGGAAAAAAUGGAUAUUUAAUGAAAUUGGGAACUUUCAAAAAGACCAGAACUACAUAGGAAACUUGACAUUCAAACAGAAGAUUUAAGAGAAACACAAAAAAGUAAACAGGAAAGAGAAAUCAUAAGGCAUGAUAAGGCUGAACUGUUUACAUUCUUACAUAGACAAUAUUUGAAAUUUAGGAACAUUAUCAAUAUUAGGGCAAAUAGAAGGAAUAUACAGAGAGAGAGAGAGAGAGAGGAUGUAAGUGUGAAUUAACUACAGUGGGAUGUUACCCCCCAAAAAGAAAAUUGAGAUGAGAAAGAUAGACUGCAUUGGGAGAAGAGGUAAGGGAGACAUACAGUGGGGUGAAUUAUCUGAAAUAAAAGAUGCCUGAAAGAGCUACUAUAAUUGAGGGGAAGGAUAAUCUUCAUAAGAUUUGACUCAAAAAGGGAAUAACAUACACAAUUGAAUAUAAAAAUCUGUCUUCUCCUAUAGGGAAAGGAAAAAAAGGGAUGCAGAAAAGAGGAAGGAAGAGACUAAUAGAAGGGAAGACAGGUUUGAGGAGAUGGUGCUCAAAAGUAAACCACUGUUGUGGUAAGAAUUUAUUUAGCUUUCAUUAAGAAUAGAUUUUAAGAUCAGAGAAAGAGUUUGUCCACUUUUAUGCUGUCCCCUUUAAGAAAGGAGACAGAAAAAGUUUUCUGUGGGCUCUAUAAGAAGUUAGCAUAAGUGAACAUCAGGGAAUUCUGGGAGUGUCUCUUGAACUUCCUCUGGAGAGCAGGUGACUGAAUAUUUCCUCUGAGAGAAAACAGAAGAUUUGGUUACUUUAGAUACUUUUAUUUGAGAGUUGAGAAUAUACUGAACAGAGAAAAAGAGUUUACUGAGAGUUUUUCCUCUAUGAGCUAUAGGGAUUGCUGAAGAGCAGUUUUGUGUCAACUAGGACAGAUGAUUUGAGUGGAGCUGAGACAAGAAGACUAACUAUGAGAAGUCUUGCUUAUUUGCCUGAUUUCUGAAGAGAGAGAAAGAAACUGAUUCAAUUUUUCUAUCAGUAUUAUAUGUCGUUUUAGUUUAGGAUUAGAUAGAGGAAUUAUCUUUAGCCAGUAAGUGUAGUUUAAGUCAGAUCUGCUCUGCAGAUAUAAAGAAGCUCUGUGAAGAGGAGUUUGGGGUGUUGGGUUAUUUAGAAAUCUUAGUGAUAGAUUUAAGAGAUCCUGUCUUAUUCCUUAAUCCUGUCUCCUAUCCCUGUCUCUCCUCAUAGAGAUGAAUAAAUUUAGAUUUGAUCAAACUGCAGCAAGCCUUUAAUCCACCAUCUGUAUAACAGAUGAGUAUAUCAGAAUUAUCUGUAUCAAUAGCAGUUUCAGGUUUGACCAUGACAGUUGGCUUCCUGUCAUCCAUCCACCACCCAUGAUAGGUUAAUUCUUGACAACCUUAGUAAUUUAUAACAGUUUGGUCCAUACAAGAUUAAUUUACUUAUUAUGCCACUUACUAGGAAGAACAGAGUGAAAAGUGAAAGAUAAUAAUGAAAAAUGUAAAUGUAAGAAGGGAAAUACAUAGUUAAUUAUCAUAACUGUAAAUAUGAAUGGGAUGAAGUUACCCAUAAAAGAGAAACACAAGAAGCACAUCUGAAGCAGGAAGACAUACACAAAGUAAAGGGCUAGAGUAGAAUGCAUAAUGCUUCAGCUGAAAUUAAAAAAAAAAAACAACAGUAGUAAUAAUUAUCUUAGACAAAGCUAAGGCAAAAAAUAGAUCUAAUUAAAUGAGGAAGGAAAUAAUAUUUUGCUAAAAGUAUUAUUUCCUUCCUCAUUUAAUUAGAUGAAGCAAUAUUUUAAACAUAUAUAUCCACCAAAUGUAGUAUCUACAUUUUUAAAGAAAAAUGACUUAAAAGCAGGAAAUAAUAAAACUAUAAUAGUUGAGGAUCUCAACUUUUCCCCCCUUAGGACUAAAUAAAUCUAACCAAAAACAAACAAACAAGAAAUUAAGGAAGUGAAUAGAAUUUGAGAAGAAAUUAGAUAUUAUAGCCUUCUGGAGAAAACUGAAGGGAACAGAAAAGAAUAUGCAUUUUUGUCAGGAGUACAUUGUACCUACACGAAAAAUGGCCAUUAGGGCAUAAAACCCUCAAAAACAAAGAAAAACAAAUAUUAAGUACAUAAUUUUCAGAUCAUAUUGCAAUUGAAUUUGCAUUCUAUUCAGUCUAUGGAAAGAAAAAAGUGGAAAUUAAUAAAUCUAAUUCUAAAAGAAUAAGUAUAUCAAGAACAAAUUAUAGAAACAAUUUCUUUGAAGAUAAUGGCAAUAAUGAGACAAUACAUCAAAAUUUAUGGGAUACCACAAAAGUAAUACUUAGGGGGAAAUUUAUAUCUCUAAAUACAAUAAACUAGAGAAAGGACAGUUCCAUGUAUUUGGCAUACAACUAGAGAAACUAGAAAAAGAAUAAUUUAGCACCUCCUAAUGAAGAUGAGAUCAAAAAAAGUAAGAAAACCAUUGAACUAACAAAAUAAACUUUGGUUAAUUUUUUUUUAAAAAAAGAGGAAAGAAGAAAAUCAAAUUACCAAUAACAAAAAGGAAAAAGAUGAAUUUACCACCAAUGAAGAAGAAAUUAAAUCAAUUAUUAGGAGUUAUUUUACCUAAUUACAUGAAUUACAUGCAAGGAAAUGUGAUAAAUUAAGAGAAAUGGAUGAAUAUUUAAAUAUAUAUAUAUAUAUAUAUGCAUAUUCUCCCGAUUAACAGAAGAGGAAAUAGAAUAUUUAAACAAUUCCAUUUUAGAAAAAGAAAUUGAACAAGCCAUCAAUUAACUCUCUAAGAAAAACCCCUCAAGGCCAGAAGGAUUCACAAGUGAAUUCUACCAAACAUAAAAAGAAAAAUCCCAAUACUAUAUAAAUUAUUUGGAAAAAUAGGUAAAGAAGGAAUCCUACCAAAUUCCUUUUAUGACACAAUAUGGUGCUGAUCGCUGUCAGAAAGAGCAAAAACAAGAGGAAGAAAAAUAUAGACAAAUCUUUCUAAUGAAUAUUGAAACAUUUUUUUAAAUUUUGUCAUGCAAAACACAAUUCCAUAUUGGUCAUUGUUGUAAGAACAAACUCAUAGAUAACCAAAACCCCAAAAUAAAACCAUAAAUACACUGAUGUGAAAGAUGACUCCCAACAGUUCUUUCUCUGGAGGUGGAUAGCAUUCCCUGUCAUAAGUCUUUUAGGAUUUUCCCAUAUUAUUGCAUUGUUGAGAGUAGCCAAGUUUUUAGAUAAUCAUCAUCCAAUAUUACUAUUACUAUGUACAAGGUUCUCCCAGUUCUGCUUAUUUCAUUUGAUGCAAAAAAUUUAAAUAAAAUACUAGCAAGGAGAUCAUAGCAAUAUAUCAGAAGGAUCAGGCAUUAUGGUUAGGUAGAUUUUAUAUCAUGAAUGCAAAGGUUAGGAAAACACUCAGCCUAAAUGAUCAUGUAGAUAAAUUCAUCAGAAACCAUAUAAUUAUCUCAAUAGAUGCAGAAAAAGCUUUUGACAAAGAAUAGCAUCCAUUCCUGUUAAAAACACUAGAAAGCCUAAGAAUAAACAGAGCUUUCCUUAAAUGAUAAAAUGCAUCUAUCUAAAACUAUCAGCAUAUUCAGGACAAGUUAGAAGCCUUCCCAGUAGGAUCAGGGAUGAAGCAAGGAUGUGUGUGAAUUUAAUGUAAAUUGUAUCCCCUUAUUCCCUUUGAAAAUCCAUUUUGAUCCAUAUUGGCCCUAUCCUUUGAUAUGCAUAGUGUGGGAGGAAGCCAGAGGUCUCUAAGCUCCUUAGUUCCCAGAAGAGACUGAGCCCAAGUACUGAGUAACUCCUAGCAUCAAGAAGACUGGACUCUGGUCCUGACUGAGGUCAAGUCUGUCUCCAGAGAGAUGCAGAGGGAGUGACAUCAAUGGCUUUAUAAGAAAGGUGUCAGAGGAAGUUCUUGGUCUUUUUGGAGCUGGAGACUCUUGCUAGGGUUUUGGUUUUGACUGACAGAGGAAGCAUGGCAAACAGAUUAAUUAGGCUUGGCAAGGUGAUCAUGUGAUUUUCUCUAUUUCUCUCUCUUAUUAAUAUAAAUUAGUGUACAAUCUCUGCAGAAUUUUAAUCAUAACAAAUAUCCAUUAUCACUGCUAUAAUUUCAAUAUUAGAAAUGCUAGCUAUAGUAAUAAGAGAAGAAAAAAUUGAAAAAAUUAGAAAGAGUAAUGAAAAAGCAAAAUUAUUACUUUGCAGAUAAUAUGAUGUAUACUUUAAAAAUCAACUAAAAUUAGUUGAAAUAAUUAAGAACUUUAGCAAAAUUUCAGGAUAUAGAAUAAAUCCACAUAAAUCAUCAGCAUGUCUAGAUAUUACCAACAAAGCUCAGCAUCAAAAAUAAAGAAAUCCCAAUUAAACUAGUGAUAAUAUAAAAUACUUGGGAGUCUACCACUCAAGACACAUCCAUGAACUUUAUGAACUUAAUUGUAAAAUACAAAGUCAGAUCUAAAAAACUGGGAAAAUGAUCUUUGCUUUGAGUAGGUCAAGCCAAUAUAAUAAAAAUAACAAUUUCACCUAAACUAAUCUACUUAUUCAGUACUAUAAUAAUUGAACUGGCCAAAAAUUAUUUCAUAGAGCUAGAAAAAAAAAUUCAUCUGGAAAACAAAAGGUCAAGAACAUCAAGGGAAUGAAUGAAAACAAUAAGAAGGAAGUAUAUUACAAAGUAGUAUUCAUCAAAACAAUCUGGUACUGGCUUAGAAAUUGAAGGGUGGAUCAGUAGAAUAGAUGAGGUACACAAAAUCUGGUAAUAAAUGACCAUAGUAUUUUAAUAUUUAUAAAUCAAAAGAUCAAGAAUUCAAUAUUUGACAAAAACUGUUAGGAAAUUUAGAAAAUGGUAUAUCAGACCCUGGGAAUAUACCAAUAUCUCAAGAUAAGGUUAACAUGGACACAUGAUCUGAACAUGAAGAGUGAAACCUUAAGCAAAUUGGGGGAAUAUGGGAUAGUUUACCAAUCAGAUCUAUGGAUAAGGAAAGAAUUUAGAACCAGACAAGAGACAGGGCAUAAUACAUUUAAAAGGUUUUGUACAAACUGAACAAAUGCAACCAAAAUUAGAAGGAAAGCAGAAAGCUGGGAAAUUUUUCAUAGCAAGAAUCUUUGAUAAAGCUCUAAUCUCUGAAAUACAUGGAGAAAUAAGUCAAAUUUAUAAAAAUAAAAGUCAUUCUCCAAUUCAUAAAUGGCCAAAGGAUAUAAAUAGGUUAUUUUCACAUGAAGAAAUCUAAGUCAUUUAUAGUGAUAAGAAAAAAUGCUCUCAUUCUUGAUGAGAGAAAUACACAUGUGAGAAUUUAACACUAACUUGUACCCCUUUUCUUUCUGUGGAUUUUAUUUAUUUUAUAUUUUUAAAACCCUUACCUUCUGUCUUAGAGUCAAUACUGUGUAUUGGCUCCAAGGCAGAAGAGUGCUAAGGGCUAGGCAAUGGGGGUUAAGUGACUUGCCCAGGGUCACACAGCUAGGAAGUGCCUUGAGUCCAGAUAUGAACCUAAGACCUUCCAUCUCCAGGUCUGACUCUCAAUCCACUGAGCAACCAAGAUGCCCCCCUUUCUCUGGAUUUUAAAGAGAAAGCUUUAUAUUUAGUUUGAGACUAUAACUAUUCUCUAAAUUCCCUCUUUCAUUGAAUUAAGAACAAAGGUUGAUGCUUUAUCUGUCAAUAAAUUACUUAAGGGGGGCAUGGGCAUUCUAGGGGGGCACCAGAAGCCCCAGGGCUCCCCCUGUGCAUGUUAGGAAGAUGUUUGUCUCUUGUCCCACAUGAUUCCCAACACCCAGAAGACUAGCCUCCUAUUUGGGCCUGAGAUUGGUCUGCCAAAUCAGAAGGACUUGGAAAAGGGAUGGCACCAGGAGCUUAAAAUUGGACUGGGGAAAAGAAGUAGUUCUCUUUUCCCUUGGAAUCAUGCAGAGAGAAGGUGGUGAGGAAAGCACUGGCAUGCCCAUAGUGUGUGAACCCUAUAGCUGGCUAGGAGACUCCCACCAUGUACCUAUCCAGUGGGGCUCAGGGUUGCCUACGGGAGCACUCCAGCACACCUGAGGUCUGGCUGAGAGGCUAGAGCAGGUGGCUGAGGGAGGAGGCUUGUAAAGAGAACAGACAUGUAUGAGUUGUGCCUUUCUUUCUCUGACCAACUUUUAGAAUUAUUUAAUGCACAUAUAAAUUAAAAUACAGUCUCUAGAGAAUUUUAAUGUUAAUAAACUUAAACAACUGAGGCACUGCCAUACAGCUGUUUAUAUUGGCUAAUAUGACAGAAAAGGAGAAUGAUAAAUAUUGGGAGGGGAUGUAGGAAAACUGGGACAUUAAGAUCCUGUUAGUGGAGUUGAGAUCUGAUCCAUCCAUUCUGGAGAGCAAUUUGGAACUAUGCUCAGAGUACUCUAAAAUGGUGCAUAUCCUUUGAUCCAUUAAUACUAGUACUAGGUCUGUAGCCCAAAGAGAUUUUAAAUAUAGGAAAAGGACCUAUUUGUACAAAAAUACUUGUUAUAGUAUUUUUUGUGGUAGCCAAAACUGAGGAGACAUCAGUCAAUUGAGAAUGGCUGAACACAUUAUGGUAUAUGAUUAUGUGCUUUAUUAUUAUUUAUUAUAUAAUACUACUCUGCUUUAAGAAAUGACAAGCAGGGUGAUUUAGGAAAAAUAGGGGGAAAGAUUUACAAAGUGAAGUGAGCAGAGUCAGAAGAACACUGUACAUGGUGUACUAGUGGGGGAUCAGGAAUCAAAGUUUGACAGAUAACUGAGAGGGAGGUAACAGAUAAAAAAGAACACCACUUCUCUCCCAGGCAGAGCUAUCCCAGAGAAAAUGGAGUUGGAUCUCUGACUAGAGCUGGUGGCUAAGAGAAAAUCCCCUUCAAUCUCUGUUAUUAUUCUCUUCUUUAGCUGAUUGUUAUCUAUGAUCACCUUGAGUACAUUGAAGAAGAUGUCUGGCUCCUCAGUAAGUUAAAAGAUCUAUUUAUUAGAGGAUGGGUUUGGUAUAGUAGGUUAAGAAAGAGGGAACAGGAGUCCCUAAUCUAUUUUUCCACCUAAAGUUUCUUCAGGGGGUGAAGCUCAAGUCUAGGGACUAAGUCACAGAAGAUCUUUGUAUAUUCAAGAUGAUGUAUUUUCUUGAGACAGAUAAAUAACUUUUGUAGGAAAAAUUCUGAUGGAUAGGCUAUUUCUUUCCCCAAAGGGAAAAAGUCUCUAUCCAACAACUAUAAAGACAGAUGGUUAGUCUGGAUCUCUUCAAUUCAAUGACGGAUUUGUAGCCAGAUAAGCUCAGCAAGAAUUGCCCUUUUCCUCCUCAGUUCAAAAGGGAAAAAGACUGUAUUCCCAACUGCUCAUGUGCUUUUCUUAGCUGGAGAUUCCAUUCCCAUCCCCCAUUGGCAGCCAAAGUUCUAUCUCCUUUUUGCAUGCGAUUACACUGCAAAAUCCACUCCUUGUAUUUCCUUCAGUAUCUCUCUCUCUUCCACAAUUCCUCCCUUUACUGUUUUACACAUUCAGCCUGACAACUAUACCAAAGUACAGUACUUAUGUUAUUAUUAUUCUAUCUAUCAUGUAAAAUAUACUAUUCUAAAUAUUCCUCCUUCCCCCAAAAUAACAAACCUUAAUCUAUUUUAAAUAUCCUAAUCUACCUAAAUUCUAUGUCUAUGAUCAGGAUUAUAGGAAAGUGGAAGGUAGGAAAGUAUUUCAAAUACAUGGGUAUUUUUCAUCAUGGCAACAGUUUCAACAAUGUAACACUUUCUGUAGCAAUCUAAAUUUUCCUAUCUCAAUGAACAAUUACAAAUGUAUAACUAUGAACUGUUAUGAACUCUACUAACUUCUACAUUAGUAAUAACUUUUUUAAAAAAUUAUAUCACAAGAUAUAUUAUUCUGUCCUUAGUUUAUCUCUAUUUUCAAACUUCCCUGAUCUAAUCUCUCCCUAUAUGUUAAUAAUUAAUAUAUUCCUGCAGAAGCUCAAGUGUAAAUUAUGAAGUAGGUUGAUCUUAUGUACAAUGCAAUCCAAAACAUAUCAGUGUGUUUAAAUGUUUAUGUACUAAGUAUGUAGUGUUGAAUGCAUACUUACUGUCCUUCAGGAAAUCCUCUUCAUAUGUUGCCUGAGGAUCUAUCAUUCAUUCUUCCUGUUUUAAUUCUAAUGUGUAUGUGAAUGCAAUGCCCUAUAUUCUCUUUGAUUUUAAAGUUCUUUUGUUGUCCUUGGUGUUGAUUGAAGUAAUUCCAUUGGUCCAGUGAAUUUCCUCUGUGCAGCAUACAUAUUUGCCUGUCAUUUCACUUUGAUUGAAGUCCUGUGUUCUCUGAUGAUUGUAAUAAAUAGGAUCAUGCAUGUGUGUAAAAUUAAUUUUUUCUGCACAUGUGCAUGUAAGUAGGAAUGAUUCUUCAUGCGUGUAUGUAACCUAAUAUGUAAAUCUUCAUGUAUGUGUGUAUGCAAUGUAGUUUUUGUAAUUUGUUGUAAAUAUCAUAAUCAUAUGGUUUUGAGAUUUGGAUUCAAGAUUUGGAGAGAUGAUUUUGAAAUUUGGAGAUAGAAACUUUUUCUUUCGCUGUUGAUUUAAUCUUCAGAUGUUGAUUUUAGCAGGGAUUUUUCAUGUUAUAUGUUAGCAGAGAUUUGUGUUGUUACAUAGAGCUAUUUCUUGAGAUAAUUUACUGUAUAUAUUUGUUUGUGCAAUGCUUCAUUCUAUUUCUUCUUCACUCUCAUUGUUCUCAUUUGUAGAGACAAAUUGAUUUGUUUCUAGGGCAUUUGGUAUUCAGAUUCUGAUAUUUCUCCUGCUGGCUCUUCUGGAUUCUCUAGAUCUCCUAUUGUGCUAUUAUUAUUAUGGGCAUAAUGUUUCACAUGAGAGGCAUGAUAUCACUGAAAUUUUCCUAAUACCUCAAUGGAUGUGGAAGUAGUUAAAACUACUUCGAGUGGGCUAUUCCAUCUAGGCUCAGUAGAUGUAUCACUAACAAAAUUCUUCACAUACACUUUAUCACCUGGCUUGAUAUUGUGCUGUGAGAAGUCAAGUGGUACCCUUUGGACUAACAAUCCUAGAUUCCUUAGUUCUUCCCAACCUAUUCUGUAUUUCUACUAGAUAGGUAUGAAGCUGACAUUCUCCUCUUAGCAUGGAUUUGUAAGAUGGUUUAGCUGUUAGUCCAUGCCACAACGGUUGUCCAUAUAGAAUUUCGAAUGGGGAAAUAUCCAAGUCUCCUCUGGGUCUAGUUCUAAGGUAGAAUAAAGCUAAAGGAAGAACAUUUGUCCACUUUAGAUGUGUUUGUGCACAAAGUUUUCCUAUCAUUAUUUUUAAUUCUUUAUUCAUCCUCUCAACCUGACCUCAACUUUUUGGUCUAUAAACAUUGUGUAGACUACUUUUGAUUUCUAAGUUCUUGUAUACUUCUUGCAAUAUCUGUGAUGUGAAAUGACUUCCCCUGUCAGAGUCAAUAAUAUCAGGAAUGUCCUAUCUAGGAAUUAUUUCCUUCAGUAACGUUUUCACUACAAUGGCUGUAUUGUUGCUCUUAGCCAGAUAUCCCUCUAUCCAUCUAGUCAGACGAUCCAUAAUUACAAAUACAUAUUUAUAUCCCUUGUGACUAGGCAUAUUAAUGUAGUCAAUUUGCAAACAUUGGAAAGGUAUAUAACUUAAAGAUCUGCCUCCUAGUGCCUUGUUCUUAAAAUGACCUUGAUUGAAUUUCCUAAAUAUAUCACAUGCCUAACAAAUUCUAAUAGCAUUUGUAGAUAUCUCUGGGGCUGUCCAAAAUCUCCUAAUGCCAUCCAACAUGGAUUUCACUCUGUAAUGACCUUUGGAGUGAAUCACAUUACAUAGAUGUUGAUAAAGUUUUCUGGGAAGUAUGGGAUUUCCUUCUGCUAGCAAUAUUCCUUUCACUAAUUUGGCUCCUAGGUAUUUUUUCCAUGAAUGAAUCUCAUCUCUGUGGUACCCUUUAGUAAUAUGCUUUUCCACCAGAGAAAGAUUCAGAACACAGUAAGGACCAAAUCUGACUCCAUAUCUUGCUGUUAUGUCAGUCCUUUGAUUCCCCUGGGAUAUACAUUGUCUUUGCUAGAAGUGUGUGCUUUGCAAUGUAUCACAGCUACUUCACUUGGCAAAUCUUCUGAUGCUAUCAGACAGGAUAUAAGAUCUUAAUGUGCAAUUUGCUUCACAACUGUUGUUACAAAACCUCUGUUCUUCCAUAUAUAUACAUUAGCAUGCAAGGUUGCAAAAGUGUAACUUGAAUUGGUAUACACAUUUGCUCUUUUGCCUUUUGCCAAUUUGAGUGCCUGCAUGAGAGUUUUUAAUUCAGCACCUUGGGUGCUGACAUGACCAGGUAGUGAAGCAUGCCAUAGUGUAUUGUCAUUGGUCACUAACUACUGCUGCACCUGUGACCCUUUGUCCUCUAAAGAUGUAUAAGGAUCCAUCUGUGUAUAACUCAAUCUCUGGGUCACUAAGAGGUGUAUCUUUUAAGUCUUCCCUUGGUUUGUAUAGAAUUUCUUGUAUUAAGUAAUUACUCUGAGAGGGAGAUGAUGAAUUAAGGAUCAGAUUUGCCUCCUUUUGUCUUUGGACAGGAUGCAGCCUGCAGCCUGUGUUGGUGUUACUUACCUCUUAAAUUUAUCUUGCCAAAUUUCUAUCUAUUCUUAACCCUAUACUAAGUUAAAUAUUCCUUUACCCUCCCAAAACAAUAAAUCCUAAUAUGUCUUAACUAUUCUGUCUACCUAACUCUAUGCUAAUUUUGGGUAUAGGAAAAUGGUUUAGGUAACAGGAAUUUACAUGAAUAUAGUUUUGAACAUAACAAACCAUGUAACGAUUUCAACAAUUUCAACAGUAUUUUGAACAUGUAAUUGUCCUAUCUUCUAAUGUCUAUAAAUUAUACUAGGUAAAAGUUUCUAUGACUAAUAAUUGUUAUUAAUAUUAUUAUGUACUCUAACUUCUAUGCUUAAUUCUAUGUCUUUCCCUAUAUUCCCUAAGAAUAUAAACAAUUUUUCUAAGCUUUCCCUGUCAUUAGUGAUUAAAACAUUAAUAAAUUACUCUAAUAAAGUUAGUCUGUUUGUAUCUAUAUAGAUUUACAUAUGUACAAAUAUAUAAUAAAAUAUAAUGUACUUUCUGUGCAAACUCAUGCAGAUAAGAAAUUUCUGUUUGAAUUUCCACAGAAAUUUAUACAUAUAUCAGCAUGAAUUUGUGUGUUGCAAUUAUGCAUGUGUUAUAUACUUACCCAGUCCAUGAGAUUUCCUUUCACAUUGUGUUUUUAUGUGUAUCAUAUGUCUGUAUAUGUGAAAUUAACAUGUAUGUAGCAUUCUUACAUGACCUCAUGACCACAUGUUCAAAAUUUCAAAGUCCUUCCAUGUCUUUGUUGUUGAUUUGAUUGCAAAAACAUACGUGUCUUAGUUUUUCAUCUGUGCUGGAUAUACUUGUUGUCUGUCGUCAGCUCUUGAUUGAAGUCCUGUGUUGUUUAAUACUCAGGAACAUACAGGAACAUGCAUGUGUAUAAGAUUUUACAUGUGCAUGUAUGUAAGUUUGAAUUUUUCAUUGUGCAUGGAAGUAAGGUAUGAAUUCUUCAUGUGUGCUUGUCAGUAUUUAUGAGUUGUUUUUCAUAUGAUUAGCUUCAUGAGUGGGUUUUGCAGUAUGUUGUACUAUUUAAGUUAUUAGAUGCAUGUUAUGAUUAUGAAUUUGAUAUUCUCUUAUAUGAUGUUUGAGUUUUCACAAGGGGUUUUAUUGUUUGCUCUCUUUGAUGCUCAUGUUAAGAUAUGUUGACUUUUUGAUGUUUCUUGGAGAUAGAAUGUUGACAUAAUGUAUUUCAUUUAGUUCAUAGUUAUGUUUUCUUAGUGAAAUAACUUAGCUACUUUGUUGUUAAAAUUGUUGGCAGAGAUUUGUAGAGGCUUUUUCAUUAGAGUUAAUUCUAAAGUGCCUGUUUUUCUGUCUGUUUUAAUGUAAAUCUUUCUAUCCAAAGCUAUUUCAUUUGCUUUUGCAAUGCUUGCUUAUUCUAAUUUGUACUCUUGUUUGCUUUCCUUUGUUUUCUUUCAUAGAUUUUCAUUAAUAGGGACUGUUUUUAAUUAUUACUGGGGCUAUUUGUAUUGUUGAUUAUGGCUAGGGCUAUUUGUUUCAGAUGUCAUAUUUGUACAUCUUCAUUGAUGGUAAUGUCAUGGGUGUGAUGCAACUUUACAUGAAAUAUGAAACCAAGGAUCUUUUUCAUCAACCUUUACCAAUGUCGGUAUGACCUUUACAAUGGUUAGAGGUCCUAUCCAUCUUGGUUCUGUAGGAGAUUCUCUAUUGAAAUUCUUGACAUGUACUUUGUCUCUUGGUUUUAUCUUAGGAGAUGAAAAAUCUAAUGGUAUUCUUUAAACGAGUAAACCCAGUUUCCUUAGUGUUUCCAAUCUAUCUUGUAUUUGUUUUAGAUAUUCAUGAAGUACACAUUCCCCGAUGAUGACUUUACUGUCCUACCAUGCCAAAGUGGUUGACCAUAUAGCAUUUCAAAUGGUGAUAUAUGCAAAUCAUUUCUAGGUCUAGUUCUUAUAUUGAACAAAGCAAGAGGCAUAACAUCUGUCCAUUUUAAAUGUGUUUCUGAACAGUUUUCCUCUUUGUGUCUUCAAUUCUUUGUUCAUACAUUCCACCUGGCCUGAAUUUUGGGGUCGAUAAACUGAGUGAUAAUUGCAUUUGAUCCCCAAGUUCUUGUAGAUUUCUUGCAGAACUUGAGAAGUGAAAUGAGACUCCCUGUCCGAGUCUAUGGUAGUGGGAAUGCCAUGUUUAGGUAUCUUACUAUUGUUGCUAUGUCAUUUUUCUUGGCUGGACAUGCUUCAAACCAUCUUGUCAGUCUAUCCAUAAUAACCAAUGCAUAUUUGUAUCCCUUGUCUUUGGGCAUGUUAAUAUAAUCAAUUUGAAUACAUUGGAAAGGCAUGUAACUGAGAGGUCUGCCUCCCAAUGCUAUGUUCUUAAAAUGUCCUUGAUUAUAUUUUCUGCAUGUUUCACAUGCCUGACAAGUUCUAAUGGCAUUUGUUGUUAUUCCUGGUGCCAUCCAAAACCUCUGUAGGAUCCAGAAUCCCUUGUACCCUGUAAUGUCCUUUUGCAUGAAUUACGGUGCAUAGAUGUUGAUAUAGUUUUUAGGGAGAAUCAGUUUACCCCCUUGAGCAAUCCAGAUGGUUUGAUUAAUUUAGCGCUCAGCCACUCCUUCCAUGACUGUAUUUCUUCUCUGUUUUAAGCUUCGAUGAGAUUGUGCUUUUCAAUCAUAGAAAAAUUCAGCACACGGUGGGGUCCAAACCUUACAGCAUAUUUUGAGGUUACGUCUGCUCUGUCUUUCCCUAGGGAUAUUCAGUCCUUUCCAUGAGUAUGUGCCUUGCAUUGGAUUAUGGCCACCUCUUUUGGAAGUUCUAUAGCAUUUAUAAUACGGUCUAUUAAUUUGCCAUAUGCAAUUGGUUUCCUAGCUGAAGUUUUAUACCGUCUGUUUUUCCAUAUGUAUGCAGAAUAAUGCAAAGUGGAGAAAGCAAAUACAAGUCCAUGUAAAUGUUAACCCUCUUUCCUUCAGCUAACUCCAGAGUCAUGAGCAGAGCCUUUAGCUUGGCUCCUUGAGUGCUAACAUGACUUGGCAAUGAUGCAUGCCAAAGCAUUUUGUCAUUGCCCACUACUGCAGCUCCUGUGACUCUAAAUCCGUUGUGAAUAUAGGAGGAUUCAUAAGUGUAGAAUUCUAUUUCUGGAUUGAUAAGAGGUGUGUCCUUAAGGUCUUUGUUGGGUUUAUGCAUCAUCUCCACUACUUGGUUACAAUCAUGCAGUUGCUCACCACCUAUUGACAAAUCUGGAAUUGGAGUCUGGGUUGAAUGGUACACAUCUAUGAAUAUUGAUGUUGUCACUGCCUAGCAAAAUUAUAUACUGGGAUAUUCUUGCAUCAGUGAAUGAAUGCAUAUUCUGCAACUUUAGCAAUUUUUCUAUUUGGUGUGCAGAAUACACAUGCAACUUGCAUCCCAGUACUAUAUCAGAAGAUUUCUUGACCAUAAGAGCUGUUGCUACCAUGCUCCUAAGGCAAUGCACCAUUGCUUGUGUGACAGCAUUGAGGAUAGAACUGUAAAAUGCAAUAGCCCUUAAGUUCAGCCCAAAAUAUUGUGCUAAUAUUCCAGAAACGAUGUCUUUAGCUUCAUAGACAUACAAGUGGAACUCCUUCUUAUAACCUGGUAUUCUCAAAGCCAGAGCUGAUAGAAUGGCUCUUUUUAACUGUGACAAAGCAUGCAGGUGUUCUUUGUUUAAUUGCAAUGGUUCUUUAAUUUCUUUCUUUGUCAAAUCAGUUAAACAUUUAAAAAUAUGGGCAUAUCUUACUAUGUAUUAUCUUGAGAAACCAGAAACCCCUAGAAAUGCUCUAAGUUCUUUCUUGGUCCUAGGGAUGCCUAGCUUCCAUAUGUAUGCUAUUCUUUUAUUAGAGAUUUUCCUGGUGCCCCCCUCCAGGACAAAUCCAAGAUACUCAGCCUUCAGGAGAACCCUCUGGAUUUUCUUUUUUGAAACUUUGUGUCCUCUCUUAUGAAGCUCUACUUCUUUGAAUCUUUCAAACAUGUUUUUGGGUCAGGUGAUGCUAGCAGUAAGUCAUCCACAUAAUGUAUUAAUUUAUUUUAGGAUUUUGGGUGAGGAAAGAACAAGAGGGAACAUAUAAAUGAUUCAGAUUUAUUAGUUGAGAAGGGGAGGAAGGAAUAGGAGUUUAGGAGGAAAUUAUACUAAUUAUCUUAACAAUCUAAUAUCUAAAAAUAUCUAAAACUAUUUUAUUAAGCUAAACAGUAAAUUUCCCUAAUAGUCAAGUCUCACACCAGGAGUCCAAACAAAUGGUCCAGGAUCUUCAGUUGUUUAGUCUAUCUUCAUUCUUCUUGAUUCAAAGCUGCCAGCAGCCAGAUCCAAAAGAUUUCUUUUCUACUGUUGGUCUCAGGAGAAACCCUUUCCCAAGCCUCAAACUUGGGUCCUUCCAGGAGAGAUCUCAUGAAGUCCACUAUAUAUAUAUAUAUAUAUAUAUAUAUAUAUAUAUAUCUUUCCCAGAUCUAUAUCCUCAGGCUCCCAUAAGACUCUUAGUCACAUGCUCCUGUCAAUUACUCACUCUGAUGUUUGCACCUCUGUUUUUGCAAACCAUUCAUCUUUAUUAUACUACAUUUGAAAGUUAUGUUAGCUAGAUCUCUCUGUAGAAGUUGACAAAAUAUGGAAGCUGACUCACAACAUCUUUGCACUAGUCUUGUACACCACAACUGAGUUUGUCCCCAGUGGAAAGCAAAAAUAUUUUGAGAGUCAGGGUGCAGUGAUAUGGUAAAGCAUGCAUUGCUUCAGUCCAACACUGUGUACCAUAAUGCCUCUGAAGGUAUUUGUGUUAUUAUAUCAUUCAGAGAAGGUGUGACAGUGUGGGUUUUUUCUUAUUUACUGCCCUAAUAUCCAUCACAAAUCUCCAAACUGAAAUGCCAUCUUCAUUAAGCUUGUACUUUUUAAUAGCUAGAAUUGGACUAUUAAAUUCAGACAUUGUAGGGUUUGAAAUGCCUUAUUCUAAGAAGCUGUUUAUGAUUGGUGUUAUGCCUUCUUUUGCUUCCUUACUUAAUUUGUACUGUGGCAUCUUGAGUGGUAUUCCAUCCCUGACUUCAAUUCUGACUGAUGUCACUGGUUUUAUCCUACCCACGUUAUUCUGAUGUUUUAUAAAUACUCCUUAUGGGAUAUCUUUAAGUAUUUCAUACAUAGAUGUUAAAAUUUGAAUUUUCUCGGGUUCUUCUUCUAAUUGUUCCAGAUAUAACAAUGGGUAGUGUUUUAAUGAAUGUUUGGGCAAAUGCAAGUAUAUUUUCCCAGAUCUUUCACAUUGCAAAGUUGCCCGAAUUUUACACAAAAAAUCCCAUCCUAAAAGGUUAUCUGGACAUGAGGGAAUAAAUAAAAAUGUAUGAUCAAUGGUGAGAGGACCCAAUUUGACCAUUGUGCUUUUGAGCUCAGGGACCUGUUGUAUUUGUCCCAUAGCUCCAGCUAUAGAAACCAUACCCCCUAUGUUGGUAUCCCCUGGACAUGUCUUUAGGACAGAUUUUGAAGCAUCAGUAUCUACAAGAGCUUUGUAUUUUUCCUCUCCCACUUUAAUCCAUAUAUAGGGUUCUGGCUUUUGUGUAGAUAUGGAAUUUAUUGUUAGUGAAUCACUCUGCACUGCUCUGGUACCUUCUGCCAGUUGUAUGGGUGAACUAGUUAAAUCUUCUAGACUUAAAUCAUUUCUUCUUUAUCUGAGUUUGAUUGUAUUAUAUCUUGUACUUCAUUGGAAAAUGAAUUUAAAUCACAGCUAUGUUUAAUCUGAUAUAUUCCUUCAUGGUAAGACUUCCCCCAACCAUUUAGAAUGUUAGUUUCAUGGCUAUCAUUUGAAUCCUUGGCUGUUCUAUCAGUUGCUAAGUUUUGCAUUCUAUUCAUCUUUUCAAAUUUAACUGCUACUCCACCUCCAUUACUUUGAAUAUGAUUAUUAUUUCAAAUGUAAUUUCAGUUUCAUGUUCAUUAAAUUUUGUAAUUUCUAAAUUAGUCACUAUAGGAUGAAAGUUUUCAGCUUCUGGGUUCAAACUAGAUGUUUUUUUCUAAAGAAAUAUGUGCCAUAUAGCUAUUUGAAGCGUUCCUGUGGGUUUUUGUGUUUAUCUGUGAGUGUUUGCAAGUCAUUUAUAAUCCCAUUAACAAUAAACUUUUGUUUUGACUUUCUGCUACAGUUCUUUUGUUGUACAGAAUUGAAAUUUUUCUUUUUCUGAGUCUUUCACCAGCUCCUGCUUAGGUUUAUGUGAAUUCUUAUGACUUUUGUUAGUACAAAAUUCAAUCCUUGUGCCCAAUCUGCACUGAAAUAAUGUUUUCUAAGUAUGUUUUAAUUUGUGUCCUACUUUUUUCAUGAGUGGUUACUAUGUUAUUUCACUCUGAGUCUCUUAUUUCCUUUUGUAUCCGAGCAAUGAUAUUUUUAACUUCUUCAUCUAGCUCCUUCACUUGUCUCUGCAUUUCAUUUGAUAUUUUGCUUGGCUUACUUUAAUCAGUACUCACAGACUUAAUUUUCUGCAUCACCUUUGUAUUGUCUCGUUUUCUGUUCUUUCUUUUGUAUUGUACCAGCAUGUCUAUCACUAUUUUGCACCUCUCUAUCUCCAUGAACCAAACUAAAUACGUUAUAAUUUUGGCUUCAUAAGUCUCCUUUUACAAUAUCUGAAUAUUUAUGUUUAGUCCCUGCAUCUAGCUUCACACAUUUCCUGAAGGUUUGAUGCUUCCUGAUUUGAUCUUAAAGUGCAGUAUUUGCAGCAGGUAUUUUUCUGCUUUUUAUAAUGUUUUCUUUGUGUGUUCUUAUUAUUAACUUCAUACUUCUUUUUUAGAAAACAGUUUUGUGAAGUGUCCAGUUUUAUGACAGAAAAAUCAUUGUCUGGUCUUACAUUCCAUUGCUGGUAGGAAGGUUUUGUGUAUGUUUUGAUCACAUUAAGAUUUUUAAUUUCUUACAUCUUUUUUUCCUUUAGAUUCUGUUCUGAGUCAUAUAAUUUUUGUUUUAAUUCUGACAACUGUCUAUUCUGAUCUGUGUGACUCAUAAAUGUAUGAUGUAGAAUCUCAUAACUCAAAGUCACCAUAUCAUAUUUGGGAAAAUAAUUUUUGAAGAAAUUCUUGAGAUGUGGUGUGUAAACUCUAAGAAAUUGACUUCUGACAUGAGCUGUAAACUCUUCAGAGUCCUUUUCUAUUCCCAUGAUAGCCUCUGGGAUUUCAGAGAGGUGGUCAAUGAAUGUGGCUGGGUGCUCGCUCUUUAUUUCGACCAUUUUGUCAAAUUUACCCCAAGCAUUUGGCUUGGAGCAACACAUCUUGAUUGUCUAGAGCAAAUCCUCCCUGCAUUUCCUAAGAUAGAUCAUGCAUACAGGGUUAGAGAAGUCAAAAUCCUUUCUUUGCUCCUCUGUUGGCCAGUUCAUCAGGGUGCUUUCAAAUCUCAUUUUGUCUAUGAAUUGGCGGUGUUCAUGGGGGCUAAAUAAUUCCAACAGAAGGAGCUCCAUAUCAUCAAAACUUGGUUCAGAGAUAUGAAAUGCUCUUUUCAGUUCCUUCUGUGUUCUGUGGGGCUCUGAGAUAAAUUUUGGAAAUCUUUCCUUGAUGGAAUUCAAUUCCUGAGUGGUGAAUUUUUUAUGGACCUUAGAGUGUAACACUCCUGCUGAGUCUGAGAUCUUAUGUCCUUUAAAGGCAAAAUUUUCUCAGCCUCUUUGUACCAGUGUCCUUAUCCUUGUCAUUUCCCUGUGCACCUGACUUGUUUUUCUUGGACUUCUUUUCCUUAUCUUUUGUUACUUUGUCAUCCUGCCCAUUUCCCUUAUCUUUGAUCUGAUUUAACCCUUUUACUUUAAAAUUUCCUCACAUAUAUUCUUGACAAGAUCUUCCAAGUUUGUGUCCACUACCAUGAGUUGUGCCACUGUCCUUGUUACUAAAAACUUGUAAAUGUUCAUCAUGCAUGUCAGAGUCUAUAUUCAGCCAUGGUAAAAAUGUAAGCCUAACUCAGUAUCUUUUUGAAAUGGUUUAUACAUUAUAAAUGUGGUAGUAUUUGUUAUGUACCUCACAGUUUCUAAUAGUAUAGUGGUCAUAGUACUAUACAAUAUGCUAUAUACCCAAUAGCCUGCAAUUAUGGCUAACACCAUCAUUCCACAUACUAUCUGUUUGAACAUUUUGCCUUUUCUGACUUCCUGUCUACAGGGUAUGGAUACAGUCUGUUCAGGGUGCCAAAUUGUAUUAGGGAAUUACUCUGAGAGGGAGAUGAUGAAUUAAGGAUCAGAUCUGCCAACCUCCUCCCUUCCUUCCCUACUCCCUCUGCUCCUUCCCUCUUCCCUCUUCUCUCUCCCUACUCCCUUCCCCCAUAAAUUAGUUCUACAGUUGGCAUCACAGGAAAUCUGCUUGAGUUAGUAUCUUGUUAUAACAGACAGAUAACUCUCUCUUUAAUAACUUUAAACAAAAGGGGUUUGUUUAGGAGAAAGGGAGAAGUAAGGGAGUUGAGGGGAGAAAGGGUUUGAGGUUUCUCUAAUCCUAAAAUAAUUCCUAAGUUGGAGGAUGGUGGAAUAGAGUCUAGGUUUUUGGGAAAUUGGCCAACAGGUUUGAAAAUUCAGUCACUUUUAUAUUGUAGGGAGAAACCAGAGAGCAGGACUUUUCUGUCCUUUCUCCUUUCUGUCCCAAGGGCAAGAGACCAAGUUCCUCAGCUUGUCUGUUCCUUUUUAAUGGUCCUUCCUGGUCACCAUUGCAAUUAGAAUGUUUUCUUUGAUUGACAGUUCUUCAGUCCUAGCUUCUCCAGCUCUGCUGUAGACUUUUCCCAUUUUCUCUCCUCCACAACAUUACAUUCUAUUACUUGGGUGCAGUCAUGUAAUGGUCCUUCUAAAGGCAAAUCAGGAACCAGAGUUGCUGGGUUUAGAGGUGCAUAUCUAUGAAUGGUCAAAUUAUCAUUUCCUAGCAAAAUGAUUUCAUACUGAGAUAUGAAAGCCUAGCAGAUGUGAAUGCAUGCAUAUUUUGUGGCCUUAAGAGUUUUUCAUUUUGGUGAGCAGAAUAUACAUGAAACUACUGUACUAAUGGGGAAUCAGGAACCAAAGUUUGACAGGUAACUGAGAGGGAAGGAACAGUAAAGAGGACCACUACUUCCCUCCCAGGCAGAACUGUCUAGAGAAAGGGAGUUGGAUCUGACUAGUGCUGAAUGGUAAGAGAAAAUCCCCUUCAAUCUCUUUUCCUAUUUUCUUCUUUAAUUGACAGUAUUCAUGAUCCCCUUUAUUAAGUUGAAGAUAUAUGAUUUUUGAAUUAAUUAAAAUAUCUAUAUAUAGUAGUAGUCUCUCGGUAACCGAGGAUGACAAUUGUCUUUGUGCGCUUUCAUCUGUGAUGUAGAUGAGUGUGCACAAAAACACUUGUGUGUGAAGGAGAUUUAAAUGGAAAAGUCGAUGCACAGAGACAGUCACACUCUCUCGGCGUUGGAAGCCCAGGUCCAGUGGCACGAAAAAUCGUUACACCUGGAGACUUCCUCAGCUGUAUUGAAUGGCCAUGUUGUCUUUUGUGCUCCAACAUGCCCUAAACACUCCACAGUGCUUUGCUGCGUCGCCCUCUCAGCCAUUGAACCUUCUUGUUGGUUUCUUCCGUCUGUUCCGCAGAAGCAGUCUUCACAUGCUGGGUGAGCAAAGCCUUAGUUCACCAGGGGUCUACGACCCGAUGGCUACCCUCACAAGUUUUAGCCGGCCUGUUGAAGCCGUUGCCUGGGGUAUGGCCACUGCCGCAUGCUAGCAGCUACUAGGAACCACAAGUGAGAGCUGGGUGUCAGGUGAGGGUCAGAGGUAGGAGAGCUGCCCUAGGAGGGCAUGACAAGCUCUCCAUAUCAGAGAUACUACCCCUCCCUGAGCACCCCAUACACCCCAAAUAAAUAUCUAUUUAUUAGAUAAAGGGUUUGGUAUGAUAGGUUAGGAAAGAGGGAACAGGAAAUCCUUGAACUAUAUUUCCUCCUACAGUGUCUUCAGGGGUUUGAAGUUUAAGUCUAGGGACUAAGUAUUAGUGGGGAAAUUGAGAAGGAACCAGAAUUGCCAGAUACAUGGGGAAUAAAUAUAAGGUAGCACCACUUCUACCUCCCCUUCCCCCAAGCAGAGCUAUUGUAUUAAUGGAGGGCUUUGAAGAAGGAACUAAAGUUCAGCUACUUGGGGAUUGAAUACAAUGUGACACUUCUUUCCUUCCUCCCUCUUCCCCAAGUUGAGCUGUUGACCAAUGGAAUCAAUCUGACUAAACUAAAAGGGUAAGUUAAAUUUUCCCUUUAGCUUCCUUCUUUUUUUUUUUAAUUUGUGUUUAAAUUUUUUUUUAAACCCUUACCUUCCAUCUUGGAGUCAAUACUGUGUAUUGGCUCCAAGGCAGAAGAGUGGUAAGGGCUAGGCAAUGGGGGUCAAGUGACUUGCCCAGGGUCACACAGCUGGGAAGUGUCUGAGGCCAGAUUGAACCUAGGACCUCCUGUCUCUAGGCCUGGCUCUCAAUCCACUGAGCGACCCAGCUGCCCCCCCUUCAGCCUCCUUCUUGAAGUGAUGUUUUUGAAGUUCUCCUCCUAACACAUUUGAAUCUGAUUCAAAUUUCUAUUAAAAUAAAGAUGUCUAAUUUAUUUAGAUAUAAAGGGGUGAAGGGUAAACAGGAAAAGGGGGAAAGGAAAUCCCUAGGUAUUUUCUCUUAUAUAGAUCUUGAGGGUUUGAACCAGAGUCUUCUUUAGAAGUAAGCUCUGGGUUCCCCUAAGGGAAAAAGAGUCCUUAUCCUAAAGAUUUGCCACCAGUUGAGAGAUAAGAUCUUUUGCUGGUCAGGUAAAAGGACUGAGAGAUUUUGUGUAUCUUCACAGCCAAAAGUAGUUCUCCCUCCCAGCGCCAAGGGGCCCAAGAUAAGAAGAACUCUUAUUUUUUCUCCCAACUACCUUUUGAGUCUGGCUGGAAAUUCUAUACCAUCCCCCAAUAUCAUCUGGGGUUCCAUCUGCUCUUCUUCUGAGACAUUUCUUCAAAACUCAAUUUUUUUUCAUUGCUUCUGGUCAUUCUCUUGUAUACCAACCCCCCAUUUCUGUGUUCAUACAAAGUCAACCAGACUUUUGUAAGAGUGUUCAGUAGUUACGUUAUCGAUUAACUAAUGUAUUCUAACUAUCUAUUUUAUGAAAUACACUAUCCUAAAUACUCUACCCACCCCCAAAUAACAAAUCCUAAAAUAUUUUCACUAUCCUAAUCUUUUAAAUUCUAUGCUAAGAUUUAGGGUUAAAGGAAAGUGGAAGGGUAGGAAAAAUUCAAAUACAAAAGUAUUUUGACCACAGCAACAGAUUUAACAAUUGUAGCAUUUUCUCUGUAACAAAGUAAAUAUUUCUGUCACAAUGAACCACAACCUCUUUCUAACUAUCAACUCUUACAAACUCUAUUAACUCCUAAGGUAACUAUAUUUCUUUUAACCUUUCCUCUAGCAACUGUUGAGGGUUUGAUCAAAAGUCUCUUCAAAAAAAUGGUUUUGAAUUUCCCAUAUGGGAAAUGUAGUCUCUAAACCCACAAGAACUUUCUUCAAUACUGUUCAGGCAAAAGGGUUUGGAAAGAGUCUCUCCUAGCUGUCUCUUUCUCAGAGUCCAAAACCAGAAGACCAGCAACAUUUCUGGCUCCAACUGUUUCUUUGUACUUGGAACUCUCCCAUCCCCAGCAGGUGUUCUGAAUAUUCCAUUUGCCCCACCUGGGUCCAUCUUCUUCAUAUCUCAGAUUUUCCUCUGCUUCUGGCCAUUUCUCUUUACAAUCCCCCAUUUCUGUUUUCAUUCAAAAGUCAAUCAGACUUUUGCCCAUUAUGAUCCUUUACUUACCUGAAUGAUAUACUAAUGUCUUCUAACUAUUCUAUGACAUAUUCUAUUCUAAAUAUUCCACCCCACCCCAAAAAUAAGAAAUCCCAAGUUAAGACAUGGGUUCACCAGACAGUGGGAAGGGUAGGGAAAUUCAAAUUCAAAUACAGAAAUAUUUUUGAAGUAACGGAUUCAACAAUUUGUAACAUUUUGGUAACAAACUAAAUUUUUCUAUAACAAUUGUACUAUGAACUCUUCUAACCUCUAUUAACUCUAUUAAUUCUUAAGGUAACUAUAGUCUUCCAAACUUAACUUCUAAAAUAUAUCAUUCUGUCCCUAAUCUACCCUGAGUUUCAAACUUCCCUAAUCUAAACUUUCCCCGUGUGUUAAUUGUUAGUAAAUUUUAAUAACCUAAAGAUUUAUAUCAGUAGAUUAAUUCAUUAGUAUUUUACAAAUGUACAUUGUUCUUUCUGUACAAACUUUACAUAUGCACACUAUGAUACAUUUGUAUAUGAGUUCUGACCAGAAGUCAUUCAGAUAAGAAUUUUUCUAAAGAAACUCAAAUAACAUCAGUAUGAAAUAUGUAUGUGCCCUAAUUAUGAGUUGUUAUAUACUUACCCCAUCCAAGAGUCCUCUUCAUGUUAUGCUUCUGUGUGAAUGUAUAUGCAUUGACCUAUAUGUGACGUUAACAUGUAUGAUGAAAUCUUACCUGACCUUUUUUCAUCAGUCCUUGAUUUAAAAAUUCUUUUGGUGUCCUUGGUAUUGAUUGAAUGAAAAUAUACAUGUCCUGAGUCUUCCUCUGUACAGCAUUCAUACUUUUUGCCUGUUGUCUCCCCUUGAUUGAAGUUCUAUGUUCUCUGAUGAUUUUAACAUACAAGAUCAUGCAUGUGUGUAAGAUUGAAUUUUCUUCAUGUGUGCAUAUGUAUGUAAGUAUGAAUUCUUCAUGUAUGCAUGUCAGUUUUCUAUGCUUUGAAAUCUUCAUGCAUGGAUGUAUAUCUAAUACAGUGUGAAAUCUUCAUGCACGGGUAUAUGUAAUGUAUUUUUCUAAUCAGUUUUAACCGUGUCCUAUAAUUUGAACUUUGACAUUAUUUUUUUAUAAUUUAGAAUCUGGUUCUCUGGAGUUCUGGAUUUAUGGAGAUUUGAAUAUCGGGAGAUUCUGAUAUUUGAAUAUUUCUGGAGAUAGAAACUUUCUUUUACCCUUGAUAUAUACUUUCUUAUUGAUAUAGACAGAGAUCAUUCAUGAUGGUGUGUGGUGGUAGAGAUAUGUUUGUGUUUUUCUGUUAGUAAGAGCUUGUUUCACUAUUAGCAGAGAUCUGAUUGUUAUCUGGAGCUAUUGUCUUUAUACCUGGUACUAUCUCAUAUAUUUAUGCAGUGCCAUUCUGUUUUUUUUCUUUUACUCUCGUUUUUCUCAUUUAGAGGGACUAUUUAAGUUAUUGUUAGGGCAUUUGCCAUUACUUCAGAUUUUUCCUAUAUUCCUUUUUGCAUUCUAUUCAGGAUGUUUACUCUGAAUCUUCUAUGUAGCUGUCAGUAUUGGGGGCAUAAUGCUGUUUUAUAUGUGAGGUGUGAUGCCACUGAUCCUUUCCAGAAACUUUUAUGGAAGUAGGAGUAGUCAUAACUACAUCUAGAGUGCCAUUCUAUCUAGGCUCUGUAGAUGUUUCUCUAACAAAAUUCUUCACAUACACUUUAUCUCCAGAUUUGAUAUUGUGUAGUGAGAAAUCCAGUGGUACCCUUUGUACUAACAAUCCAAUACUAUUUUAAAAUAUUCCCCCAAAUAAAAAAGUCCUAACCUGCCUUCACUAUUCUGACUAUCUAAUUUUAUCCUAAGGUUUGGGAUUAAGGAAAGAGGUGUGGGUCAUAGAAAUGCAAUGCAGAAAUAUGGUUUUGAACACAAUAGUAAGCAAUGCAACAAUUCAAACAAUAUUUUUGACAGUGUAAAUUUCUUAUAUCCUAAUAACUAUAGUUUGUUCUAAGUAAAAGUUUCAAUAAACAACUGUUACUAACAUUAUUAUGAAACAUAUUAAUUAUGCUAUACAUCUGUCUCUAAAUCAUCUAGGAUUCUGAAAACCUUUUCUAAAUCUUGCACUAUUGUGUUAGUAAUUAGAAUGCCAGUAACAUAACCUUCUAUUGUUAGCAGGUUAAUUCUAUUAGUAUUUACAAAUGUACAUAUUUUUCUCUACAGAUUUUACAUAUACACAGUUAUAAUACAAUCUUAUAUGUGAUUUCUGUGCAAAAUCAUGCAGAUAAGGAAAUUCCCUUUGUUUAAAUUUUCCAUAGAAACUCACAAAUAUGAAUUUUGUGUAUGUGUAACUAUGGUAUGUUUUGUAUACUCACCUAGUUCAUGAGAUUCCUUUCUAUGUUAUGCUUAUGUGUAGUUGUGUAUGUACCUAUAUGUGAAGUUAACAUGUAUGACACAUUUUUACGUGACCUCAUCACCAUCAGUUCAAGAUUUCAAAGUCUUUCCAUGUCUUUGGUGUUGAUUGUAGAAACAUACAUGUCUUGGAUUUUUCAUUUGGGCAGCAUACAUGUGAUGCCUGUCAUCUCACCUUGAUUGAAGUCCUGUGUUCUUUAACAUACAGGAACACAUAUGCAUGUAAGUUCUUCAUAUGCGUGUAUGUAAGAAUUAUAUUUUUUAUGCUUGUAUAUGAGAGUAAGUUUGAAUUCUUCAUGCAUGCCUGUUAGUAUUCAUGAAUUGAUUUUUCAUGCAUGGAAGUAUGUGUGGGCAUAUGUAGUAUGUUGUACUGUAUAAAUAUUUCAGGAUGUAUGUUAUGAUUUUGAAAUAUGAUACUAUCAUAUUAUUUGAUGUUUGAUUUCACAAGGGGUUUCAUUUUGUGUAUAUUGCUUCUUUAAGAUGUUCAUAUUAAGAAAUUCUUUUGAAUUUUUCUUGGAGAUAAAAUUUUCCUUUAGCCUAUGGGUUUCUGUGUUCUUGUUGAUGUAGAUAAAAUGAUCUGUUAUAAUGUAUUUUUCAGAGUUGUAUCUUCAUAUUCAAGUAACUAUGUUUCCUUUUCAUUGUUGUUGUAGACAAAGACAAUUUUUUAUUGGAGCUGUAAUCUUACUAUAUGUGUGGGCUAUUUUGUUAUUGCUUUUGCAGUGCUUAUUUCUGUUGUAAUUUGUACUCUUGUGUCUUUUCUUUAUGUUAUUAUAUGCAAUGCUUUCAAAUUUCUUCUUGUCUUCUCAUUUAUAGCUUUCCAUUUAUAGGGACUGUUGUUAAAUAUUGCUAGGGCUGCUGACAAUAUUGCAGAUUUUCCUUAUGCAUUUUCUUCUUCAUCGUUGGUAAUAUCAUGGGUAUAAUGUAGUUUUACAUUAUACAUGUGAAGCAUGAAACCAUGGAUCUUUCCCAUCUACCUUUAUCAGUGUAGGAGUUACCAUAACAACAUCCACAGGACCUAUCCAUCUUGGUUCUGUGGAUGGUUCUCUAGUAAAAUUCUUGACAUAUACACUGUCUCCUGGUUUUAUUUGAUGUAAUGAGAAAUCCAAUGGUUCUCUCUAUACUAGUUAUCCUAGUUUUCUUAAUUUUUCCAGUCUAUCAGUAGUCUUUCUGAGUAUUCUAAGCAUGUCUUAGGAUCUGGUGAUGCUAGAAGUAAAUUGUUAACAUAGUGCACCAACUUGCUGUGCUUGAAACUAAUAGUUGCUAGGUGUCUCUGAAGCAAUUGGCAGAAGAUAGAGGCUGAUUCACAACAACCCUGGACUACAUGAGUCCAGCAGAGCUUAUUUUGUCCCCACAAGAAAGCAAAAAUGUUUUGAGUAGAUAAGGAAACUUGGUGAAUUAUAGUUGGGUGGGGGAUGGGGAUUUUAGAGAAGUUACACCAGGAAGUAAGCUAAAGAAAGAGACUGAAUCUUGAGCCCCUCCCCUACACUACUUCCUGUUUCUUAAUUCCCAAUUGUCUGAAUGAAGAUCUUCUCACAGAUGGCAAGUUGAAAAUUUCCCCACUAAAAGCCAAAUCUCACAAUUAGUACUUUAACUAAAGGAUCUUUUAUUCUUUGGGGAGAUGGGGUAAGAAGAGGUUGGGGGAAUGAGGGAAAUUAGGGUAUCCAUAAUUUCUAAGUUAUCAUGUUGAUUGAAGGCUUUGAAAUAAAGUCAAUUCAGAAACCAAAAUUAUCUUCCCUUAAGAGAAGGAGGCAGAAAACAGCCAAGAAGUGAAGUCUCAGGCAGCUGGAGCCUCCUAGCUGCUUCUUUCAAGGUUCCAUUGGAACAGUCUCCCCUCACACUAUGAUUUGUGUUCUAAAAGUUCUGAGCUCCUUUGCUUUGCAGAUCCAUUUUUCUUUGCCCAAAUAUUUUCAUUCACAAAUCCCCAUUUCUGUCUUUGCCAGAAUUACAACCAGGAAUUCUGCAUUCCUUUUCUCAUACUGACCUUUUAUUUUCCAAUUUCUUCUUUCUAAGUUAUGAUAAUAUACUAUUUUAAAGUAACCUUCCAAAAUAAAAAAUCCUAGACUAUCUUUACUAUUCUAAUCUAGCUAACCCUAUUCUAAGAUUUGGGAUUAAGGAGAGUGGGAUAGGCCAUAACAUAGAAGCACAAUACAGAAAUAUGGUUUUGAAAACAAUAAUAACCAAUGCAACAAUUUAAUCAUUUUUAACAACAAUAUAACUUCCUUAUUUCCUAAUGAACUAUAGCCCGUUCUAAGUAAAAGCUUUAUAAACAAUAUCCAUUCCUAACAUUACUAUGUUACUUAUAUUAAAUAUGCUAUCCAUCUGUCCCUAAUCUAUUUAGAAUUUAAAAUGACUUAUCUAAUCUUGCCCUGUGUAUUAGUUGUUAAAAAUGUAAGUAACUUAAAACAAUAUUGUUAAAAUGUUAGUUCCAUUAGUAUUUUACAAAUGUAUAUAUUUCUGUCUGUACAAAUUUUACAUAUGUACAAUUAUAAUACAUUUUGUAUGUGAGUUCUGUUCAAAGUCAUGCAGAUAAGAAUUCCUUUGUCUGUUUGAAUUUUUCACAGAAACUCACAAUUAUAUAAGUAUGAAUUUUGUGUGUUUUAAUUAUGAGGUGUUACAAUCCAAGAGAUUUCUUUUCACAUUGUGCUUAUGUGUGAUUUUAUGUAUAUGUACCUAUGUGUGAAGUUAACAUGUAUGAUAAAUUCUUAUGUGACCUCAUCAUCAUCAGUUCUAGAUUUCAAAAUCUUUCCAUGUCCUUUGUGUUGAUUGUAGAAAAUAUACAUGUCUUGGGUUCUUCAUCUCUUCAGGUUAUACAUGUUGUUUGUUGUCUCCCCUUGAUUUAAGUCUUGUGUUCUUUAACAUAUAGGAAUAUGCAUGUGUGUAAUCUCUUUGUAUGCCUGUAUGUAAGAUUGAUUUUUCCUUGUUUGCAUGUGUAUGGAAGUAAGUUUGAAUUCUUCAUGCAUGCCUGUCAGUCUUUAAUACUUUGAUUCUUCAUGAGUGGAUGUAUGCUUUUCAGUUGGUAAUCUUCAUGUGUGGGUGUAUGUAAUAUGUUGUACUAAGAAGAUUUUAAGAUAUGUCUUACAGUUUUGAAAUGGGAUAUUGUCUUAUCAUUUGUUGUUUAAUUUUUCAAGGGUGUAAUAGGGGAUUAUUUAAGUAGAAAUGAUAAUUCAAGAUCGGAUCUGCCAGUCUCCCUUCCUCCCUUCUUCCCUCCCCUUUGUGACAAGGAAAUAACUUUAAAAGACUGAUAUAUAUAUUAAUUUAAGGUUGCCAAGGAAUUCAGCUAUGUAAUUCCUUAAUGAAAACUCAAGUCAGUAGUCAACCUUUUAUGGAGUUUAAUUACAAACAGGAGGAAGAAAGGUAUGAGAGAGAGAGAGAGAGAGAGAGAGAGAGAGAGAGAGAGAGAGAGAGAGAGAGAAGGGAAUAGGGCUUAAAUACCCCCUCUGUUUAGGCUGGGCCAAAAGGCCCAAGCCCUUAGAUAGCUGAGGCAAAGAAAAGAAAUCAGUCCCUAUCACUCACGUGACCAAAAUGGAGAAACAGUCUCAGGGGCCUCCACCUCCAGCUUCCUUCAGAGCAAGCUUCUCAGAGCACAACCUCUCAGAGCAAAACCUCUCCAACCAACCACCUCAGUCCUCAGACCCCGCUCUUUUUAAGGAAACCAUCCAAGUUCCCUCCCCUCAGUUCUCACAUCUACCAAUCACUGUCCAUGUCUUCCCUGUGCCAAUGGUGGCUCUAGCUUAACCCAGGACCGCCCAGAGGUCUGUGGCUUUACACAUGUCUGUUGAAGGUCAUAUUCUCAAAUAAUUAAAUCUUGAUCCUUUGCUGCAACUCUUCCUAAAUCCUGUUAUCCUGAGCAGGGUGGAGAUUGGAAGUUCCAAGACCUGGUUCUGUCAUUCCAAGUAUCUCUAUUGUAUCAAUUCUAAAAUCAAUCAUGACUCAAAGAACUUCCUGUUCUAUGCUUAAGCAUAGGUCAAAGCCCUUUCCAUUGUUCAGCAAAAGGUUUCUGUCCUAAAGCAGUCUUAGGUAGGGAGGAGAAGGACCCUCCCUACCUAAUGUUGGAAAUGGGGAAAUUUCCAACAUUCAUAAGUCUAAGAAAUUUUAAGGUUUACACCUUCCAGUUGAUUCUUCUAUUAUUGGUCUCCCUAAAUCAACUCAGGGUGAGUUUUAUGAUGUCUCAAAUAAAAUACUCUUUCUCUUCUCUAAGAAUAAGUAAGGGGUUUAUUGGGGGGAAAGGGAAAGAUAAGGAAAUGGAGGAAAAGAGGGUUUGGGGUUUCCCUAACACUAGAAUAAUUCCUAGGUUGGAGGAUGGUGGAAUAUAGUUCAUGUGUGAAAUUGGGAAAAUUGGUUAACAGAUCUGGACAUUCAGCAGAGAAAUCGGAGAGAGCUGGACUUUUGUCCUUCUUCCUAUCUGGCUCCAAGGCAAAGAGGCCAAGAUUUCAGUUUGUCUCCUCCUUUCUCAACAGUCUUUUCUGGUCUUCAUUCCAAUUAGAAUGUUCUCCUUGUUCUCUUAUUUAAUGGAGAUUUGGAUUCUUUGAGAUGUUUAUAUUUGGAAAUUAUUUUGACUUUUGAAUUUUUUUUGAGAUAGAAUUUUCCUUUAUGAUUCUUAUUUUCUUGUUGGUACAGAUAUAAUUAUACUUGAUGUAAUGUUUUUUGCAGAGAUGUGUCUUCUUUGUUAAGUAACCUUAUUUCAUUCUUAAUGUUGUUGUUAUAAGCAGAGAUCUUUUCUUAUUGGAGCUAUUAUCUUCAUAUUUGGGACUAUUUCAUCAUUGAUUUUCCAGUGCUUAUAUUCUGUUUUAAUUUGUACUCUCCUGUCUCUCAUUUGUGUUGUUGUUGUUCUUGUGUUGUGUUCAGUGCUUUCAUUUUUAUUAUUCUUAUUCUACUCUUAUGUAAUGAUUUCCAUUUAUAGGGACAAUUAAGAUAUUGUUGGAGCUAUUGGCAAUACUUCAGAUUUUUUCUUAUGUAUUUUCUUUAGGAUGUUGCUUCAUGUUCUUAAUAUUGUUUUACAUGAGAGACAUGAUACCACAGAUCUUUCCCCAAUACUUUGACAGAUGUAGGAGAAACCAUAAUCACGUCUAGAGGGCCUAUCCAUCUUGGUUCUGUAGGUGUCUCUUAAAAAUUUUCACAUAUACUUUAUCUCCCAGUUUUAUUUUAAGUAAUGAGAAAUCUAAUGGUACCUGUUGCACUAGCUUCCUUAGUUCUUCCAACCUAUUUUGUAUUUCUACUUGGUAGCGAUGAAGUUGACAUUCUCCUUUUAGCAGAUAAAUAUGAUGAUUUUGCAGUCAUACCAUUCUAUAAAGGUUGACCAUAUAACAUAUUGAAUGGGGAUACAUGAAAGUCACCUAUGGGUCUUGUUCUUAGUUGAAACAAUGCUAGUGGAAUAACAGCUGUCCAUUUCAAAUGGGUUUCUGAACAGAGUUUUCUUAUUAUUGUUUUCAAUUCUUCAUUCAUUCAUUCAACUUGGCCUGAACUCUGUGGCCUACAUAUAUAUAUAUAUACAUCAUGGAGAAUGUUUUUAAUAUCCAGGUUCUUAUAUAGUUCUUGUAGAAUCUGAGAAGUGAAUUGAAUCCCUCUAUCCAAGUCUAUGGUGUCAGGAAUGCCAUACUUAGGAAUUUUUUAUAAAGUUAUGUUAUAUACUUACCCAUUCCAUGAGUUUUUUUUCAACAUUGUAUUUAUUUUUUUCAACAUUGUAUUUAUGUGGACCAUGUGUAUGUAUUUAUGUGAUAUUGACAUGUAUGUCACAUUCUUACAUAACCUCAUGAUCACAAGUCCAAAAUUUCAAAGUCCUUCCAUGUCUUUUGAUGUCAAUUGUAGAAAAUUAUGUGUCUUGGUUUCUCUUCAUCUGUGCUGCAUUCCACAUUUUGUCUGUCAUCUAUUUUGAUUGAAGUCCUGAGUCCUCUGAUAUUCAGGAACAUACUGGAACAUUCAGAAAACAUGCAUGCACGUAAGGUUUUUUACAUGUGCAUGUAUUUAAGAUUGAAAUUUUUCAUUGUGCAUGGAAGUAAGAUAUUAAUUCUUCAUGAGUGCUUUAUUAGUUAUUCUUCAUGUGUGGAAGUAAGUUUUAAAUAUGAUCAUCUUCAUGAGUAGGUGAAUGUAUAAAGUUGUAGUAUAAGUUCUUAGAUUUAUGUUAAGAAUAUGAAUUUGAAGUUUUCUUAUCUUUUGAUGUUUGAAUUUUCACAAGGGGAUUUGUUGUUUUCUGUUUUGUAGAUAUAUCUUGGAGAUAGAAUUUGGAUAUAAUGUAUUUCAUUUGGUCAUGGAGUUAUAUUUUCAUGUUAAAUAACUUUGUUACUUUCUUUGUUUUUACUAUUGUUGGCAGAGACUUUGUAUAGAUUAUGUAGAAACUUUUCCUUGGAGCUACUUUUAAAAUACAUAUUUUCUUUUUGUCUGUUUUACUGGCUAUGUUCCUUUCUGGAGCUGUUUAUUUGCUUUAGCAGAGCUUUUCUGUUAUCAUUUUAACAUGUGCAAUGCUUUCUUGUCUGUACUUUCUGUUGAUUCAUACUCUCAUGUACUUUCCUUUCAUAGCUUUCCAUUCAUAGGCUUCCAUUCAUAAGGACUUAUUGAUUUUUUUGCUAUGGCUAAACAUUAUGGGUGUGAUGCAAUUUUACAUGCGAAGCAUGGAACCAUGGAUCUUUUUGAUCAACCAUUAUAGAUGUUGGGAUUGUCGUUAUGACCAUUGUUGGACCUAUCCAUCUUGGUUCUGUAGGAGAGUCUCUAUUAAAGUUCUUGACAUUUACCUUGUCUCCUGGUUUUAUCUUAAGCAACAAAAAAAAUCUGAUGAUAUUCUUUGCACAAGUAAGCCCAGUUUUCUUAGCUUGUCUAAUCUACUUUGUAUCUGUUUUAAAUAUUCAUAAAGUAAGCAUUCUCUUUUAAAAUGGACAAGUAUGAUGGCUUUACUGUCCUACCAUGCCAAAGUGGCUGACCAUAUAGCAUUUCAAAUGGUGAUAUAUGCAAGUCAGUCCUAGGUCUAGUUCUUAUAUUGAACAAAGCAAGAGGCAUAACAUCUGUCCAUUUUAAGUGUGUUUCUGAACAGAGUUUACCUAUCUGUGUUUUCAGUUCUUUGUUUAUAUGCUUGACUUGACUAGAACUUUGGGACCAAUAAACUGAGUGAUAAUUGCAUUUAACCCCCAAGUUCUUGUAGAUUUCUUGCAGAACUUGGGAAGUGAAAUGGGACCCCCUGUCUGAGGCCAUGGUAUUGGGAAUGCCAUGUCUAGGUAUUAUCUAUUUUAAUAGAAAUCUCACUACUGUUGCUGUGUCAUUUUUCUUGGCUAGACAUGCUCAAACCAUCUUGUCAGUCUAUCCAUAAUAACCAAUGCAUAUUUGUAUCCCUUGUCUUUAGGCAUGUUGAUAUAAUCAAUUUGAACACAUUGGAAAGGCAUAUAACUGAAUGGUCUGCCUCCCAAUGCUAUGUUCUUAAAAUGUCCUUGAUUAUAUUUUCUGCAUGUUUCACAUGCCUGACAAGUUCUAAUGGCAUUUGUUGCUAUUCCUGGUGCCAUCCAAAACCUCUGUAUGGUAUCCAGAAUCCAUUGCACCCCAUAAUGUCCUUUUGUAUGAAUUAUGGUGCAUAGAUUUUGGUAUAGUUUUUUAGGGAGAAUCAGUUUACCCCCUUUAGCAAUCCAAACACCUUUGAUUAGUUUAGCACCUAGCCACUCCUUCCAUGACUGUAUUUCUUCUUUGUUGUAGGCUUCAGUGAGAUUAUGCUUUUCAAUCAGAGAGACAUUCAGCACUUGGUGGAGUCUGAACCUCACAGCAUAUUUUGAUGUUAUGUCUGCUCUACCAAUCCCUAGGCAUAUUCUGUCCUUUCCAUGAGUAUGUGCCUUACAAUGGAUUAUAGCUGCUUCUUUUGGAAAGUCUACAGCAUUUAUAAUAUGGUCUAUUAAUUUGCCAUAUGCAAUUGGUUUCCCAGCUGAAGUUUUAUACCCUCUGUUUUUCCAUAUGUAUGACGACCAAUGUACAGUGGAGGAAGCAUAAUAUGAGUCCAGAAAAAUACUAGCUCUUUUUCCUUUAGCUAAUUCUAAGACCAUGAGAAGAACCUUGAGCUCGGCUCCUUGAGCACUAACAUGACUUGGCUAUGAUGCAUGCCAAAGUGUUCUGUCAUUGUCAACUACAGCUGCCCCUGUGAAUUUUCUCCCAUUGUGAAUAUAGGAGGACCCAUCUGUGUAUAACUAUUUCUGGAUUGAUAAGAGGUGUGUCUUUAAGGCAUUCAUUUGUUUUGUACAUGAGUUCUACUAUUUGACCACAAUCAUGCAAUACUUCUCCACCCAUUGACAAAUCAGGAAUCAUAGUUGCUGGGUUCAAUGGUGCACAUCUAUGAAUUGUGAUGUUUUCAUUGUUUAAUAGAAUGACUUCAUACUGGGAUAGUCUUGCAUCAGUGAAUGAAUGCAUAUUCUGUGACCAUACCAGUUUUUCUAUUUGGUGUGCAGAAUUAACAUGCAAUUUGCAUCCCAGUACUAUAUCAUAUAAUUUCUUGACCAUCAAAAGUGUAGCUACUAUGCUCCUGAGGCAAUGUACCAUUCCUUGUGCAACCGAGUCUAGGAUAGAACUGUAAAAUGCAACGACCCUUAGAUUUAACCCAAAAUACUGUGCUAGCAUUCCAGAAGUGAUGCCUUUAGCUUCAUGGACAUACAAGUGGAAUUCUUUCUUAUAAUCUGGUAUCCCCAAAGCUGGAGCUGAUAACUCCUUUCAACUGUGAAAAAACAUGUAGAUGUUCUUUGUUGAAUUCUAAUGGUUCUUUAAUUUCCUUCUUUGUCAAAACAGUUAAACAUUUGGAAAUAUGAGAAUAUCCUACUAUGUACUUAUCCUGAGAAACCAGCAACCCCUAGAAAAGCUGUAAGUUCUUUCUUGGUUCUAGGGACAUCUAGCUUCUGUAUGUCUGCUAUUCUUUUAUUAGAGAUUUUCCUAGUGCUUCCCUCCAGGACAAAUCCCAAAUAUUUGACUAUUGGAAGAACCCACUGAAUUUUCUUUUUUGAAACUUUAUGUCCUCUCUUAUGAAGCUCUAUCAAUAACUUCUUUGAGUCCUCCAAACAUGUUUUUUGGUCAGGCGAUGCUAGCAGCAAAUCAUCCACAUAGUGGAUGUCAAAUCUGUGACAUUUGAAAGUUAUGGUGACUAGAUCUCUUUGCAAAAGUUAACAAAAUAUUGAAGCAGACUUACAACAUCUUUGCAUUAAUCUAGUAUAGCACAGCUGAGUUUGUCCCCAUUGGAAAGCAAACAUAUUUUGACAAUCAGGGUGCAAGGGUAUGGUAAAGUAAGCAUUGCUCAAGUCCAACACUGUGUACCACCUAGCUUCUGAAGGUAUUUGGGUUAUUGUAUCAUUUGGCGAAGGUGUGACAGUGUGUCUUUUCCUUAUAAAAUUAUUUACAGCCCUCAGAUCCAUGACAAAUCUCCAAGUGGGAGUGCUAUUUUCAUUUAGCUUGUUCUUUUUAAUAGCUAGAAUUGGGCUAUUGUAUUAAGAUACUGUAGGUAUCUUAUGCCUUGUUUUAGCAAACCAUUUAUGAUAGGUGUUAUUCCUUCUUUUGCUUCUUUACUCAAUUUGUAUUGAGGUAUCUUUGGUGGUAUUCCUUCCCUGACCUCAAUCCUGACUGGUGUAACCAACCAGAUCCUAUCUACCUCAUUUUGAUGUUUUGCAAACACCCCUUGUGAUAUAUCUUUUGGUAUUUCAUACAUAGAUGUUACCAAUGGAAUUUUCUCUGGUUCUUCUUCUAGUUGUUCCUAGUAUAACAAUGGGUAGUGUUUUAGUGAAUUUUUGGGUAAAGGCAAAUAAAUUUUCCCAGAUUUUUCACAUUGCAAAGUUGCCUGAAUUUUACACAAAAAAUACCAUCUUAAAAGGUUAUCUGGACAUGAGGGAAUUAAUAAGAAAGUAUGAUCUAUGGAGAGAGGACCCAGUUUGACCAUAGUGCUUUUAAGCUCAGGGAUCUGUUGAAUUUGUCCUGUCACUCCAGCAACAGAAACCAUACCCACUAUGUUGGUAUCCCUUGGACAUGUCUUUAGGACAGAUUUUGAAGCACCAGUAUCUAAGAGAGCUUUGUAGUUUUUCUUUACCACUUUAAUCCAUACAUAUGGUUCUGGCUUCUGUGUAGAUAAGGUGUGUAUUGCCACUGAGUCACUGUUUAUUCCUUUGCUACCCUCUGCCAACUGUAUGUUAGGAUCAGUUCAUUCUUUAUUUAAUUCAUUUCCUAUGAAGUCUCCAUUUGAGAUUGAUAGUACUAUAUUCUCUAUAUUGGAACAUGAAUUUAAAUCAGAGCUGUUACUUAUCUCACGUAAGUUUAUUUGGCCAAAUUCCCCUCUGCCACUUAGAAUGUUGGCUUCAAGUCUGCCAUUUGAAUCCUUGGUUGUUCUUUCAGUUAUUAAGACUUCCAUUCCAUUCCUCUUUUCAAAUUUAACUGUCAUGUCACCUCCAUUACUUUGAAUAAGAUUAUUGUUUUCAAAUGUAAUGUCAGCUUCAUUGUCAGUAAAUUUUAGGUUCUCUAAAUCAAUCCUUGUUGGAUGGAAAAUUUCAGUUUCUGGAUUCAAAGUAGAUGUUUUUCUAAGGAUAUCUGUGCCAUAUAGCUAUUUGAAGAAUUAACUAAGUUUGGUGGGAUGUCAUGCAAUUCUGUGAAUGAUUUCAAAGCAUUUACAUCUCUAGCAACAGUAAACUGUAGAAAUUGAAAUUUUGUUUCUCUGUAUCUUUCACUAACUCUUGAUUUUUUUCUUUUUCUGUCUUUUACUUCUACAAAAUUCAAUCCCCAUGCCCACUCUGCACUGAAAAAAAUUCUCCAAGAAUGUUUUGAUUUGAUUUGCACUUUUGUGUGGAUACUAUACAGCCUUUCUCUAAGUCUCUUAUCUCUGUUGCUAUUUGAGAUAUUUCUUUCACCUCUUCAUCUAUCUAUAUUACUUGUCUCUGCCUUUCUCUUGAUUUAUUAAAUGUACUAUCACUCACUGAUUCACUUUCUUGUAUUGAAUUUUCACCAUUUCUCAACUGUUUUCUCCUAAGUUAAAAAGCAGUCUCUUUUACACAAUCACUUCUAUCUCCAUGUACCAAACUACAUACAUUAUAGGCCUGGCUUCAUAAUUCUUUCAUAACCAUAUCUGAAUAUUUAGGUUUGGCUCCAGAUUUAAUGGCCUGUUGCAUUUCUUCCAAAUUAGUUGCCUGUUUUGUGGAUUUUAGCUUACAAUGAGAACAGUAAGUGGAAUUUUGCUUUCUAUAUCUAGCUUGUGUGUUUUUGUUGUCAUUUAUUUCAUGUUUCUUCUUCAGAAAACAGUCUUUUAUCAGAUGUCCUCUCUUGUGGCAGAAAAAGCAUUCUCUAGUUUCUCUCUGCACUGGUUUUGGUUUAUAACUAGGUUUUGUGUAAGUCCUAACAGUGUUGAGUUUCUUGAUUUCCUCUAUCCCCUUUUCUCUUAGAUUUUUCUCUGUUAUCUCUAAUUUAUCUUUUUAAGUCUUACAUUUGUUGUUCUGAAUGAUUAUUAUGGAGGUAACUAGCAGUUUUCACAUAGUUCUAUCAGGCUUACAGUAUCAUAUUUAGGGAAGUAAUGUUUAAAAAAAUUCUUCAAGUGAGGUGUGCAACCCUUCAAAAACUGUCCUCUCAUGUGAUUUGUAGAUUUCUCACUGUUAGCCUCUAGACCCAUAAUUGAGUUUGCCAUUUCUGAGAGAUGAUCAAUGAAUGUGGUUGGAUGUUCCCCUUUGUUUUGCAUGAGUUUAUCAAAUCUUGCCCAUGCAUUAGGCUUUGAGCAACAGAGCUUUAUAUAUUGGAGCAAAUCUUCUCUACAUUUUCUUAAGUAGGACAUGCUAGUGGGAUUUGCAAAAUCUAGGUCUUCCCUUUGCUCCUCUGUGGGCCAACUAGUUAGGUUGUUAUCUGUCCUGGUCUUCUCAAGGAAUUGGCAUUGCUCAUGAGGACUAAACAGUUCAGACAGGAGAAAUUCUAUAUCUUGGAAGUCUCAGUCAAAGAUCCUAAAAGCAUGUUUCAGGCCUUUCUGCAUCUUAAAAGGUUGCUCGAUGAAUUCUGGAAAAGUUUUUCCCAGGGAUUCAAGUACCUGGGAUGUAAACUGCCUAUGCACUUUAGAUUGUAAUAUACCAGUUGUACUUGAAAGCUUGGUGACCUUUAGUGGACAAAUUUUUUUCUGGUUCAUUAUCAGACAGUGUCCUUGUCACUUUCAUUUCCCUUUACAUUGACCUUUGAUUUCUUUGCCUUUCUUUCUUUUUCUUUGGGUGCACUAUCUGCCUGGCCAUUGUUCUUGUCUUUAAUCUGUUCUAGCCCUUUAUCCUUGAUAAAUUCCUCAAAUAAGUUCUUAAUAACUUUUUCCAGGUUAUUAUCUACCACCAUUAUCUGUUCUGCCUUUUUGGGAAUCACAAAUCUAAAUAUAUUCUUCAAAUAAGUCAGAGUCUGUAUGGCUGCCAUAGAGAUGAUGUAAACUUGAGUCAAAAUCUGCGAUAGUAUAGUUUCAGUCUGAAAUGGCAACUGUAGUAUAAACAUGGUGGUGUUGCCAAUAUAAUCCAGAGAAUCAAAAAUCAUGUUGGUCAUUCUGCUAGAGUACAUUGUAGACCCAAAAUCCAGUAAUGGCUGCCAUCACAACAGCUCCACAGAGUAUUUGCUUAAACAUUUUUCUUUUCUGCUGUUUCUAAGGGAUUGUAUAGUUCAGUCAUUUAUGAGUGCCAAUCUGUGAUAGAUGAUAAUUUAGGGUGUACUAAAUUACUAAUGAAUCAAGUUUUGCCUGCUCUCCUCCCAUUUUCCUCCCUCUUCAAAAGCCUUUCAGCUUCCCCUCUAUAAUAGAAUAUGGAUAAUCUCUGAAGAACUAUUUUUGGUUGUGGUAACUGGUAUAUACUCUGGCUGACUGGAGAGAUGCUAGGGGACACCUGAGAGUGACUAAUUAUAAUGGAGAUAGAUGAGAGAUAAAGAGAGAUACAGAGAGAUGCUGCAAGAGGGGUGCUCUUGGGUUGCCUAUUGAUCCCCAUUGAUGGCUAAUAAAUCAAGUUAUUUCCUACCCUCUUCCUCCCUCAAUGCCACAUCUCCCAGUUUUCCACCCACUCCUUCUUGCCCCUUUCCCCCUCCCCCCUGUUGGUCAGCCACCUUUCUAUGUAACUCAAAGGUGAACUGUGAGGUUUAGAGAAGAUACUCUUGUUCUCUUUCUCAGGUAAGGAGGUUUACUGGGAAAGAUAGGACAGGAUGGGAAUUGAGGUGAGAGGGAUGAGGUUUGUCUCUAAUCUACAAGGAAGGGUUAUGAGGGUUUUGGGAAAUGUCAGUCCAGUCAUAGCUGUGACUCAGAGACAGCCAGAGAGAUGGAAGACAACUGUUAAAACUUCUUUCUUCUUUCAAUUACACAAAGCCACCAGUAAAAGUAAAUUUCUUCUCAGAUUAAUUCCAGAAGCCCUCCCAAAGGUCUCUCUCUGCUUAGAUCAGAAAAAAAAAAACCAAUCUCUUUUGGUCAGGAACCCCAGAGAAACCUUGGUCAGUAACCCCAGAGAACGAAAAUCAGUUCCCCUCACCAGCUCCAACUGCCUCUCCUGGGAACAUUCUAUUUUGGAAUGAACACCUUGAUUGACAGAUCAGGUCCCCAGCUUUGUUUCUUGCUUGUCUUGUCUUGUAAAUCCUCUCUUUCUUCAUACCUCUUCCACACUUCCCCCCUUUCUUCAGCCUCCCACUCAAUGUGAUCUAUGAGAUUUCAAUGAAAUAGUUCUUAAUCUUCUUUGUCAAACAAGGGGUUCGUUUGGGGAAGACAGGAUAAAGGUAGAGGAUAAAGUAAGAGGAGUAGGAUUUCCCUAUUAUCUACAAUGAGUGUUGGUUUGGAGGAUAUUGAGGGAAAUGGCAAUUCUGUCACAAGAAUGAAAUAGAGUCAGUCAGAGAGAUAUGUAAGGACCAUUGUCCUUUCUUCUGCCUUCUAAUCAGUCAGGUCACCUCCAACUUGAUUAACCCAAGUCCCAGAGAUACAACUAGCUUCUUUCUCCACAUCAACCAGAAGCCAAAAGCCCUUCAGCUCAGUCCACAGUUGACAUGGCUCCAACUACUUUUCCUGGUAACAUUCCAAAUGGAAUUUUCAUUUGACUAAUGACAGAUGAUCCAUCCCCAAUCUCUGUCUUGUAUGCAUGCCUCCUCCACAAUAGGGCUGAUCGAUAAAUUUUGGAACCCAUUUCUUUAGGGAAUCUAACUCCUGGGUUGUAAACUGUCUUUGUACCUUUGAAUGUAACAUACUAGCUGUACUUGAUGACAUGGUAACAUCUUUUAGUGGAUAAAUUUUCUCAGGUUCACCAGUUGACUUAGUGUCCUUGUCACUGUCAUUUCCCUGUGAUUAGCCUUUGCUUUCUUUGCCUUUCUGUCUUUCUCUUGGGGUGCACUAUCUGCCUGACCAUUUCCCUUAUCCUUAAUCUGGUCUAGCCCUUUUGCCUUCAUAAAUUUUUCAAAUAUUCUUUACCAAGGUUUCCAAGUUAGUAUCCACUACUAUUAUCUUUGCUGUCUGUUUAGGGAUCACAAAUCUGUAGAUGUUCUUCAGAUAGGUCAGUGUCUGUAUAGCAGCUUUGGAAAUGAUAUAAACCUAUGUCAUAAUCUGCCAGAGAACAGUUUCUUUUUGGAAGGGCAACUGUAGUAUGAGCAUCAUGGUGUUGCCAAGGUAUUCCACCAAAUCUACAAUCAUGGUGGUCAUUUUACUACAUAGGAUGUUAUAGAUCCAAUAGCCAGUAAUUGCUGCCAACACAACUACCCCAUAGAGCACUUGUUUAAACAGCUUGAUGUUAUUUUAGGGAUUGUAAAGUUCAAUCAGUCUGAAGUGCCAAAUUGUAAUAGAUAAUAUUGAGGGAGUAUAUUUGAUGGGUAUAUGAUAACUAAUAAAUCAUGUAGUUAUCUUCUUUUACCUACCCUCCUCCAUCUAUUCCUCCCUUUAGCUUCCCCUUCCCCUGUUCUUCUAGUUUCUAAAUCAGUCAGGGUGAGUUAAUGAUAUUUCAAAUGAAAAUACUCUCUAUAUUCUUUUAUCUUAAGUAAGGUUUUAUUUGGGAAAUACAGGAGAAGAUGGAGGAUGGAGGUAAGAGGGUUGGGGGUUUCCCUAAUUCUAUAGUUAGCCUUAGAUUAAAGGAUAAUGAAACAAAUGGUUGAUAGGUCUAGUAUUUCAGUCACUAUCACCAACAGAGCAAGUCAGAGAGCUAUAUGGACUAUUGUCCUUCUUCUGCCUUCAAAGUCACCAGGCCACCUCCAGCUUGAUUAUCCCAAGUCCAAGAGAGAAACCCAGCUUCUUCCUUCCCUAAUUCAAAGCCAACCAGGAAAUCAGUCAGGACCCUGAUUCAAAGGCAACCAGCAUCAGCCAAGACCAUAAUUCAGCCAGCAGUUGGUUUGGCUCCAAACUGCCUUUCCCGGUAACAUUCCAAAUCAGAAUCUUCAUUUGAUUGACAGUCACCACUCAGCCACUGCUUCUGUCAUUUUGCAUGCCUUAUAAUUUCUCUCUUUUCCACACUAUCUUCAUUCAGCUUGUUCUUUUUAGUAGCUAGAAUAGGUCUAUUGUAUUCAGAUACAAUAGGUCUUAAUAUUCCUUGUUCUAGCAAACUAUUUUAAUAGGUGUUAUUCCUUCUUUUGCUUCUUUACUUAAUUUGUAUUGUUGUAUCUUAGGUGGUAUUCCUUCCCUGACCUCAAUCCUGACUGGUGUCACCGACUUGAUCCUACCCACAUCAUUUUGAUGUUUUGCAAACACCCUUGUGGUAUAUAUCUUUUGGUAUUUCAUACAUAUAUGUUAAAAUUUGAAUUUUCUCUGGUUCUUCUUCUAUUUGUUCUAAAUAUAACAAUGGGUAGUGUUUUAGUGAAUUCUUAGGUAAAUGCAAGUAAAUUUUCCCAGAUCUUUCACAUUGCAAAGUUGCUUGGAUCUUACACAAAAAAUCCCAUCCUAAAAGGUUUCCUGGACAUGAAGGAAUUAAUAGGAAAGUAUGAUCUAUGAUGUGUAAUAGAGAGAUACUCUGAGGAUGUCUAUCAAUCAAUAAUGAAUGACUAAUGGAUCAAGGUUUUACCUACCCUCCUCCCUCAAUGCCUCCCAUUUCCUCCCUCUUCAGAAGCCUCAGCUUCCCCUCCCCCUUUCCCUUCAAGUCACUCAGGGUAAACUAUGAGAUUUCAGAGGAAACACUCUUUUCUCUUAAUUUCUCAAGUAAGGGGGUUUAUUUGGGGAAGACAGGACAAGGGUAGAGGAUAAGGUAAGAGGGAUAGAUUUCCAUAUUUUCUAAAAUGAAGGUUAGGAGGAUAUUGAGGAAAUGACAGUCACUAGCAGGGACAGUCAGAGAGUUUGGAGGACAAUUAUUUGUCUUCUUUCUUCUUUUAACCAGCCAGGUAACCUCAGUUAUAACUGUCAGCAAAAGCUUCAGGGUCUUCUCCAUCAGCCACAAGCAACCAAAAGUUUAGUUCUCCAGCCUCUCCCCUAGCUUCAGAAGCCAUAGGGGUCCAAUUCAGAAGCUUCUCAGCCCAUUUCAGCCUGGUUUGGCUCCAAACAUCUUUCCCAGGAACAUUCCAAAUGGAAUGUUCCUUUUGAUUGACAGGUCUUCUGUCCUCAGCUUUCUGUCUUGCAUGCAUGCCUCUUCUAUCUUUUACAGGUGAGAGGACCCAAUUUGACCUAUUGUAUUUGUCCCAUAGCUCCUACUACAAAAACCAUACCCCUUAUGUUGGUAUUCCCUGGACAUGUCUUUAGGACAGAUUUUGAAGCACCAGCAUCUAAGAGAGCUUUGUAGUUUUUCUUUUGCACUUUAAUCCAUACAUACGGUACUGGCUUUUGAGUAGCUACGGUAUUAAUUGUCAUUGAAUCACUCUGCAUUUCUUUACUACUUUCAGCUAGCUGUAUGGUUGAAUCAAUUAACUCUUCUUGAUUUAAAUCAUUUCCUAUGAGAUCUUCGUCUAAGGUUGAUUGCACUACAUCGUCUACUUCAUUGGAAAAUGAAUUCAAAUCAUAUCUAUGGUUAAUCUCAUAUAAUUUUAUUUGAUCAGACACCCCCCCCCCUUCCACUUAGAAUAUUGGUUUCAAGUAUGCUAUUUGAAUCCUUGUUUAUUCUAUCAGUUACUAAAUCUGUCAUUUCACUCAUCUGUUCAAAUUUAACUGUUAUUUCACCUCCAUUACUUUGAAUAUAAUUAUUAUUUUCAAAAGUAAUGUCAGCUUCAUUUUCAUUAAAUGUUGUAUUUCCUAACAGUCAUUGUAGGAUGGAAACUUUCAGCUUCAGGAUUCAAACUAUAUAUUUUAUUUGUAAGGAAAUCUGUGCCAUAUAGCUAUUUGAAGAAUUAGCUGAGUUUUGUGGUCUCUUGUGCAAACCUGUGAAUAUUUCCAAAUCAUUUACAUCUCCAUUAACAGUAACCUCAUUGGUAAUAGUAAACUAAUGCUUUGAUUUUCUGCUACAGUCAUUUUGCUGCAGGGAAUUAAAAUUUUGUUUCUCUGUAUCUCUCACUAACUCCUGCUUGAGUUUAUGUGACUUUUCCUGACUUUUUCUUUUAUAGAAUUCAAUCCCUGUGCCCAAUAUGCACUGAAAAAAGUUUUCCAAGAAUGUUUUGAUUUGAUUUCUACUUUUUUCAUGUGUGUUUACUAUACAGUUUUUCUCUAAGUCUCCUAUCUCAGUUGUUAUUUGAGAAAUGUCUUUAACUUCUUCAUCAAGCUGUACUUCUUGUCUCUGCCUGUCAUGUGGUUUGUUACUUGGUUUGCAUUUCUCAUCAUUCACAGAUUUCAUUUCUUGCACCCCUUUUUCACUGUUUCUUAUCUGUUUUCUCCUAAGCUUAACAACAGUCUUUCACUAUUUCCUCUAUCUUUAUGUACCAAACUAAAUACAUUAUAGGCCUGGCUUCAUAAUUCUCUUCUAACCAUGUCUGCAUAUUUGGGCUUAGUCCCAGACUUUAUAGUUUCUCUCAUUCCCUGUAAAUCUGUUGCAUGUUGAAAGAAUUUCACUGUAGGAUGCUCACAACAAGUAGAAUUUUGCUGAUUGUAUUUUAUUUGUGUGCUUUUGUUGUUCUUAACUUUAUAAUUCUUUUUCAGAAAACAGUCUUUGAUCAGGUGUCCUGUUUUGUGGCAGAAAAAACAUUUCCUAGUCUCUCUCUGCACAUUUCUUGGCUCAUAAACAGGUUUUGCAUAUGUUGUAACAUCAUUAAAAUUCUUAAUUUCCUCAAUCUCCUUGUCUUUUAAAUUUUUCUGUGAUUCUUCCAAUUUUUGGUAUAAAUCUGCAACCUAUUUACUUUGAUCUGUGUGACUGUCAAAUAUAUAUGUUGCAGCAUCUCUUAAUUCAAUUAAACUCAAUGUAUCAUAUCUAGGAAAAUAAUGUUUGAAAAAAUUUCUGAGGUGUGGUGUGCAUCCCUUCAGAAAUUGUCUCCUUACAUGGCUUACAGACUCUUCCAUGUCCCUUUCCACACUCAGUAUAGCUUCAGCUGUCUCAGAAAGGUGAUCAAUAAAGGAAGCUAGAUGAUCUCCUUUAUUUUGCACCAAUCUAUCAAAUUUUCCCCAAGCAUUUUGUUUUGAGCAACACAUUUUUAUGGCUUGGGGCAAGUCCUCCCUGCAUUUCUUUAGAUAGGUUAUGCUGAUGGGAUUAGAGAAAUCAAAGUCCUCUCUUUGCUCCUCUGUAAGCCAACUUGUCAAGGCACUUGCUGACCUAGUUUUCUCAAUAAACUGAUGAUGCUCUGGGGGCUAAAAAUUUCUGCCAAAAGAAAUUCCACAUCCUUAAAAUUGGGUUCAAAAUUCGGAAAGCAUGUUUUAGCUCCUCUUGAAUUCUAUGAGGCUUGUCAAUAAACUUUUGGAAUCUUUUCUUCAAGAAUUCUAAUUCCUGGGUAGUAAAUUUCCUGUGAACCUUUGAAUGCAACAACCAGCUGUAUUAGAUAUUUUGGAAAUGUAUUUGAGGGGAAAGAUUUUCUCAGCUUCACUAUUUGCCUUAAUGUCCUUGUUACUGUCAUUGCCCUGUGUACUGGAUUUUGCUUUCUUGGUCUUUCUGUCUUUAUCCUUAGUUGCAUUGUCUUCCCAACCAUUUCCUUUAUUCUUCAUCUGAUCUAGCCCUUUUCCCUUCAGGAAUUCUUCAAACAUGUUCUUAACUAGAGUCUCCAAGUUUGUAUCCACUACCAUGAUCUGUGCUGUUUAGGAAUCACACAUCUGUAAAUGUUUUUAAGGUAGGGCAUAGUCUGUAUUGCAGCCAUGGAAAUAAUGUAGAUCUGUGUCAGAAUUUGUCAGAGAAUGGUUUCUUUUUGAAAUGGCAUGUUAAGUAUAAACAUACUCGUGUUGCUUGUGUAUUCUACAGAAUCUACAAUCAUAUUUGUCAUUUUUCUAUAUAAGAUAUUAUAAAUCCAAUAGCCUGCAAUAGCUGCCAGUACUACUACCCCACAGAUCACUUUGCUUAAACAUCUUUGCUGUUAGGAAUUGUGAAGUUCAGUCGGUCUGGGUGACAAAUUGUAAUAAGGGACUAUUUUGAAUAGUAAUUGAUAACUAAACAUCAGGCUGUUAUCUUCUUUCUAAUUAUUUCCCUCCUCCCUCUCUAACUCCCUCCCUCCCUCUUCCUCCCUUCACCUCCCUUUUGCCUCCCCACUUUCUGGUGAUUCUCCUUCUGGUUUCUCUAAAUCAACUCAGGGGUGAGUUUAUGAUGUUUCAAAUGAAAUACUUUUUUCUCUUCUAAAAUAAAGAGUUUAAGGGGGCAGCUGGGUAGCUUAGUGGAUUGAGAACCAGACCUAGAGAGGGGAGGUCCUAGAUUCAAAUCUGGCCUCAGCCACUUCCUAGCUGGGUGACCCUGGGCAAGUCACUUGACCCCCAUUGCCUAGCCCUUACCACUCUUCUGCCUUGGAGCCAAUACACAGUAUUGACUCCAGGACAGAAGGUAAGGGUUUUUAAAAAAAAUAAAAAAAUAAAAAUAAAAUAAAGGGUUUAUUGGGAAAGACAGGAAAGGAUAAGGAAAUGGAAGGAAAGCGGAUUUUGGUGUUUCCCUAACAUUAGGAUGAGUCUUAGAUAGGAGGAUGGUGGAAUAUAGUUCAUUUGGAGAAAUGGCUGAUAGGUCUGGAAGUUCAGUCACUAUCACAACAGAGCAAGUCAGAGAGAGAUAUCUGUACUUUUGUCCUUUCAUCUGUCUUCAAAAUCAAAGACCACCUUCCUUUCUUCAGUCUCCAAAACCAAGAGAGAAAACACUUUCUUCCUUCUUUCAAGGCAAAAAAGUUCUGCCUUCAGUUGGUCUGGCUUCCAACUGCCUUUCCCGGUAACAUUCCAAAUAGAACACUCAGCUCCUCCAAACUCCUGCUACUCAAUUUCUCACUUCCACAGAAGCACAGAAACAUAUCUGCAACAUUUUGUUUCUCUUUUAUAAACUUCUCUGUCCUUGACCCCCUCAAAUGGCUACUUUUGUUUAGCAGUUCCAACUGUCAACCCUCCUUUCAGUUGCCUGAGAUGGAUUCUGACUUUUUCCUGGGGUGCCAAAAUUGUAUUAGUGGGGGACUUUGAAGAAGUUCAGCUACUUGCGGAUUGAGCUGUUGACCAAAGGAGUCAGUCUGACUAGACUAAAAUUUCUUUUUGUUUCAAUGAGUCUUUGGUACUUGGCAGUUUUUGUUUAAGUUCAUCUCUCUCCUGCUCUUUCUGCUUUUCAUAGAGGUACAUUGCUAUGUCCCUUCCUUUAGAAUUAGAGAUAUCAUAGAGAUGUCAUACUUAGGGAAGAAAUUCCUAAAGAAAUCUAAUUGCAUGUUGCAUCCCUUCAAAAACUGUCUUCUAAUAUGGGCCACUGAUUCUUGUGAGUCUUGGCUAAUUCCCAUAAUGGAUUCUAUAUUUUCUCUUAGUCUGUCAAUAUAAGUGGCAGGGUACUCAUUCUUUUCCUGUACCAUCCUGUCAAAUUUGCUCCAAACAUUUAGUCUAGAGCAAAAUGACUUUAUUGCUUGCAGGAGGUCUUCUCUGCAUCUCUUAAGAUAUGUGAAAUUAGCCGGUCUAGUGAAAUCAAAAUCCUCAUAUUGGUGUGCCCUAGGUCAAUCUGUCAAGCUCUCAUCUUGCCUUAUCUUUUCUACAAACUGUCUCUGAUCAUGGGGGCUGAAUACUUCUCCAUAAUAAGAUCAAUAUCAUCAAAAUAAGGCUCAUAAGAUUUGAAAGCCCAUUUCAGGUCUUUGAGACACUUGUAGGGCUCAGAUAAGAAUUUUGGAAAUAAUUUUUUCAGCGACUCCAAGUCUUGGGUGGUGAAAAACUUGUGAACUUUUGAGUGUAAAACUCCAGCUUCAUCAGUGAUUUUUGUCAUGUCACGAAGAGGCAGGAUUUUAUGAGCCCCUGUGACCUCAGUUGUUGUGUUUUCCUAUUUGCUAUUUUCCUUCAUAUUGUCAGAAAUCUUUUCCUUAACUGUGUUGUCAUUUGUCUUUAUCAUUUCCUAAAUCAACUUGGUCCCCAAUCUUAUCCUUAGGUGUUUCAGUGAUUUCCCUAGCAUUGCCUUUUCCUUUCUUGCCAAAUAUUCAUUACACAUUUUCUGUACCAAGUCUUCUAAUUUGCUGUCUAAUACUAGUAUCUGUGAAGAUUUCCUUGGUGAUAAAAUCCUUAGAACAGAUAUUAGGUAAGAGAGGGUCUGUAUGGUGGCCAUGAGGAUCACAUAGAUUUGAGUCACCACUUGCUAAACUAUGGAACUAACACUUGUAACAGUAUUGUAGAUUAUAUAACAAUUGGCUGGGAUGGAUUCUGGCUUUUUCCUGGGAUGCCAAAUUGUAAUAGGGAGGGGAACUUAGAAAGGGAAUGAACCACUGAACAGCUGUUUGGGGACUGAAUUCUAUGUGGCACUUCCUCUUUCUUUCACUGAAAUGGGUUAUUAUCAAUGGAGUCAGGCAGUCUAGACUACAGGGUAAGUCUGUUCUCCCACAGCCUCCUUCUGAACUGAUAGAUUGAAAUUCCCCUCCUACUACAUAAACUCUGAAUCAAACUCUGGUAUAACUCAAGGUGUCUAAUUUAUUGGAGUAUGGGGUUUUUGAAAGAAGAGGAAAGGAAGAGACAGAGGGAAGAGGAAAGUCCCUAAUAUAACUCUUGAGGAUUUGAUCAAGGAAAAUUAUUCAGGGUUAAGUUCUAGGUUCUGAAAUAGAAUAAUAAAACUGACUGAAACUGUUUCUUCUUGAAAUAGUGAAUGUAAACUGAGGGGAAUCUGUUUCCCUUUAUAAUAACUGCUGUUCUCUGGCUGGCUGUGACUAGAGGGCUGCUACAGGAACCUAAGGCUGCUUAUUUGUAAUGGAGGUAGAACAAAGAAAUGCUGAGGGAUGCCACACAGGGAUACUGGUACACAAGGGACUGCUCUGGGGUUUGCUCUGGGGUUCUGCCUAUUGAUCCCUACUGAUGGCUGAUGGAUCAAUUUAUUUCCUAACCUCCUUCCUCCCUCACUUCCUCCCUUAACCAACCCUCUCCCUUUUGCCUCCCUCACCUCCCAAAUCUUCUUGAAGCCUUUGCUUCUUCCCUCCCUCCUGAGUGAACUAUAAAGAUACUCUAGUUGCUUUCUCAGUCAAGAGAUUUAUUGGGAUAACAGGAUGGGAAACUGAGGUAAGAGGGAUAAGGAUUUCCCUAAACUCUGGGGAUAAUUUUAGAAAGGUUUGAGGAAGUAUUCCAGUCACAAACUUGACUCUGAGACACAGAUAGGGAGAUGGAGGACAACAGCACUUCAAAAUCUUCUUUCUUCUUCUUCUUCACAAAUCAGCCAGGUCUCUCAGCUUCAACCCCAGAGAAAAACAAAGUUCAAAGUCUCUAUGUUUCUCCUGACCAGCUCAACUCUCAAAUAGACCACCAACUCAAAAGCCAAGUUCCUUUUUCUUAUCAGCUUCAACUACCCAGAGUCAGAGAGGCAGAGUCAAAGCCCCCAAAGCCAAGUUUCUCUUCUCAGUAUGGCCAGCAAACCCCCAACUGUCACUCCUGGGAACAUUCUGUUGGAAUCUUCUUUUGAUUGACAGCUAGAGCUAGGUCUCCAGCAUUGGUUCUUGCAAGUUCUCUCUCUCCCCGUGCCUCUACUACAAUUCCCCUAAGGGAAAAAGAGUCUUUAUCCCAAAAUUAGUUUCAGUAGAUAACUGAGAUCUUCAUUCAAUUCAAGCAAAAGGAUUUUGAGAUUGCUACUUCUCCCACCCAGCUCCACAGAGUCCUAGAUUUUCUCUCUGGCUACACCUGCUUUUGAACCUUGAUGGAACUCUCCCAACCCCUAUAGGUCUUGUGAAGUUUCCAUUUGCUCUUCUUCUAAAGCAUCUUUUCAAACUUCAGAUUUCUCUUUGCUCUUGGUCAUCCACUUAUUCACAAGGGUAAGUGAAAUUUUCCCUUCAGCCUCCUUCUUGAAGUAAUGUUUUUGAAGUUCCCUCUGUGAAGGUACUAGCAUUCUUACCCUGGUCGCCCUUCACAACCUCUCUAUAUUUAGGCCUAGUUCCAGCAUUUACCCAAGACUGCAUAGUAUUUAAAUCUGGUGCUUGUUGUCCCUGGCAACAGGCAUUUUAACAUUGAUUAGUAUACCUAUUUUGAUUGUUGCUAUUAUUAGUAUUCCACCUAUUAUUAUUGUAAUUAUUGUUACUACUCCAGUUAUUGUUUCUAUUAUACCCAUUAUUUAAUUGUCUUCUAACCUGGUUCCUAAAUCUGCAUUCCUUGUACAGGUGUCCAAUACGAUCACAUAGGAAACAGCGCCUAGGGCCUGAUCUUCUCUCAUUUGGCUUAUAAUUAUUAUUAUACCUUGGCUAUAUAGAUAUCAAUGCAGCUACAGCUUUUAUUUCUUUAAUUUCACUGUCUCUGGCCUUCAUUUCAGCUUCCUUCAAUUUCUGUUUUAAGUCCUCAACAAUAGUAUCUCUCUCAUCAUUUUUAUCCUCCAAGUCAGUAGUCAAAUAUGUGAUCUUUCUCGGUAAUUCCUGGAGGUCUAACUCUUCCCAGUCGGGGUAAUUUGUUUUAAAAAAUUGUCUGAUCUUUGGGACAACAUUUUUUACAAAGACCUUCUUAAUAUGUGCAAUCAAGUUUCCUUCCAAUGGAUCCAUUCCCAAUAAAGUUUCGACUGCCUUGGUUAUUCUUUUAAGGAAACCCGCAGGAGCUUCAGAGACCUUCUCUUUUAGAGCCUCAAAUUUUGACCAUAAAUUGGACCUUUUGGUAUACCUUCCCAUUACCUCCUUGAUUGCAUCUCUUGCAUCUACUAAUGUAUCAUAAACCCCCUCAUCAGAUGUAUCUAACUUUAAGUCCUCUGGCCAAGAUUGCAAUAAAGGAUAUAUUCUUGUCUCCUUGUAUACAUUUGGUUCUUUCUCUCUUUGUCAAGUCCUCUUUCAUCAGUAAGGCAAAACCAUUGAAGUCAGGAUAGUACAAAUCAAUUGCCCUAUGCAUUUCUUUAAUUACCUUAUUCAGUUCAUCAUUGAAACUUGGAGUCCUUCUCUUAAUGGAUUCAAGGUCUGCUGGGGAAAAUCUCUUAUGCAUCUUUACUUUAUGGACUUCAUUUUGUUUUACCACUGGCAUAUCUCUAAGUGGGCAUAAAGAAAUUAUUCCUGCUGCUUCCUCUUUUUCUAGCCUAUUUAAGUGUUUCCCAUUAGUGUUUAAUCUGUUAUCAUGUGCAAAGCCUUGAUUCAUAUUCAUGUUUAUAAAGUGCUUGAGUGUAUCAAGUUGAGUUUUCAUUUGUAUAACCAUCAUCUUCAUGUCAACCCUUCUGAACCAGGUCACCAGAUCUUUUAGAUGCUUAACACAAAGGCAUACAGAGGCACAAGACUUAUAAACAAUACAGCCACAGAUUAUAGCCAGGGGUACAUACACCAUAAUGUCACAGAACUUUAAAUUCAUUACUGGUUUCAAACAAUCCAUCAUAAAAAUAGAAUGACAGUAACUAGGGAAUGCUACAAAUAUAAAAUAUGGAAUAUGCAGUAAAUAAUGGAAGAACAUUAACAGCAUAUUGGUAAACAUGUCUACUGAUAUGCCAGCAUCCAUUGUAAUAUUAUUGUUACAAUGUAACUUGUACAUAUACCAAAACAAACAAAAAUAAAUUUCAAAAAUUCAAAACAGUUUUUUUUUGAAGAUGACUGCUCCAAGAUGACUUCUGGGGUCUGUGGUGCAGUUUCAGUAACCCCUUAAGCAAGUCAACCCUUAGAAUUCUAUGUAACCCCCUAAGCUUCUAGCUAGCUAAAUACACAGUAGAAUAGUGCCUUAUACUUAAAAAAAAAAACAA